rnacentral:lncRNA from 1 species
UUAUUUUUUUUAUUUUUUUUAUUUUUUACAAGUCUCUAAUCUCUUGAUUUCAUUAUAAUUAAGUUCCAACUGUUAGAUAUGUAUUAAAAUUGACAAAAAAUAUCACGUCAGCACCAUGUCAGCACCACGAAGGCGUCGUGUUAGCGUUACGGUGGAGCUGUGUAAGCAAAGUGCAAACAAAAAAAAGAUUGAGGAACAAAUUAAAAAUCGGUGCAAAGGUUGAGGACCAAUAGUGUAAUUAAAUUUAUAAAUUCAAAGCAAGAUUUUUAAUUUAAGUUUUAAAUUUUAAAUUUAAAUUUUGAUUUUGAAUUCAAAUUUAAAUUCGAAUUCAAAUUCUGAUUUUGCAUUUAAUUUUAAAUUUUAAAUUUUAAAUUCAAAUUCACAUUUCGAAUUCUAAAUUCUAAUUUAAUUUCAAACUUCGAUUUGAAAUUUCAAGUUCAAAAUAUGAAUUUGAAUUCGAAGUUUAAAUUCGAAUUUAGAAUUGAAAUCAAAUCUUAUAUUCAAAUUUAAAUUUUGAAUUCAAAUUUAAAAUAUAAAGUCAAAAUUUUGAAUAUAAUUUUAAAUUAAAAUUCAGAUUUUAAAUUUACAUUUGAGUUUCAAAACUUUCAAUUGAAAUAUCAAAAUCAAAAUCAAAAUUUUAAGUUUGAAUUCAAAAUUUAGAUUCAAUUUAAAAUUCAAAUUUAAAAUUUAAAUUUCAAUUCAAAAUUUUAAUUCGGCUUUAAAUUCAAAUUCAAAAUUCUAGUUUCUCACUAGUUUAAAAUUUUAAUUUUAAUAUUAUUUUUUAAUUUAAAAUUUUUAUUUUUAGGGACUAAAGUAAAAAAACGUACAAAGUUUAGGGACCAAAAUUAACAUGCAAAUAGACGCUGAUGUGGUGAUUUCGUUAAUUUUAAUUGUUGUUUUAACGGCUGGGACGUAAUUGCAAUAAAAUCAAGAGAUUAUAAACUCAAUUGCAAAAAAAAAAAAAAAAACCCAAGUGAAAAUUAGUGCAAAGGUUGGCGACCACUAGUGUAACCUUGUUAUCUUCUUUCUUUACAAAUUUAUGUAAUACUAGUGAAGUAACACNUUGGGGACCCAAGUGAAAAUUAGUGCAAAGGUUGGCGACCACUAGUGUAACCUUGUUAUCUUCUUUCUUUACAAAUUUAUGUAAUACUAGUGAAGUAACACGGUGAUGCGAUGGAUAAAUAAUAUAAAAAAUAAAAAUUUAUGGAAGUAACGAAAAUAUGAGAAUAUAAAUAUUUCAUGAUUGUUGAGAGUGGGCUAGCCAGCGAUGGUACCAUAUACUGUUUUUGUCGAGAAUGUAUAAAGAGUAGCGAUGGGGAGCGAAAGGCCCCGAGUGAUGAGUGAGAGGUAAUUGGGGAGAGAAAGAAAAAUCUAAAAUUAUAGCUAGGAAAUACAAAAUUUCUGCGUUGGUGAGGUGAGGGGAGAUGGAGAGACGCUACUAUUGAUUUGGGAGAUUAAAGAAAGUAAGAGAUGGAGAAACAAAGAGAGAAAGAAAGAAAAAGAAUUGAAAGAUGUAGCUGUGAAAAAGAGAAAAGGUUUUACUAAAAUAAAAGAGAAUAGAAAAAAAUUAAAAACAAAUAGUGAGUCCCACCACUCUCAAAUUAAAAUGGUAUAUUCACGUUAGAUUUGGCCAUGAGAAAUCAUAUAUAGGUAUGGAUUACUUAUAUUACAAAUUUAAAUAUAAUUUAUUCGAACAAAAUAUUUCAUAUAAUUUAUUAUCUAUUUUAUGAAUCCGUGUUCAUAAUAUUAAAUAUUACAUACAAAAUAGGGGUACGGAAGGGUAAUAUUGAUAUUUGAGAAAGUAUCAAUCUACUUUUUCUGUAAUUCUCAACCAUCAUCAUAAAAUUCACCAAAUAAAAAUUUGCUUAUUCUUACGAAUAAGAGAAUUGCAAACCAAACACAAAUUUUAUUUUAUUCUUUUUUAUCCUAGAAUACGUUCUAAUUCUCCUAAACACUAUUUCAUUACCAAAUCGUAGCCUUAGAGCAGUAGGAAAAAUUGAGCAAAGUUCCCUCAAAUCAAAAUUGGAGAAGUACGAGACUCUCAACAAGCCAGAGUUAUUACAAACCAUUUGAGGCCAUGGCGAUGACACUUACAAAUAGUAGUAAUUGUUACCUUGGGACUCAAAUGAUGUGUAGUAAUGGAAGCUCAAUUAAGCUCUUCCUGUGAAUAUUCAACAAAGAACAUUCAACAAUCCUAUUUGUUUUCGUCAUUGCAUUGCAUUUCAGUUUAAGAAUGCAAUGAUGCCUCAAAAUACAAGUUCGACACAUUUUUAUAUGGACAUUUAACAUUAUUUAGGGUGUGAACUAAAAGAUCCCCGACCGAUAAAGGAUUUGAGCCUUUAUGUAAACUUAAAUUUGAACCUCAUAUCUCUAAAUUUUCAGGAAGGAAGAUCAAAAACUCCUUUAAAUUUUUAAACUUUACAAAACAUAAAAAAAUACUUUUCCUUACCGUACAACCAAUCAAACUAGACUAGUUAACAUCUCGUCUUAAGUUUACAUAGCAUAAAUAGUCUACAAUUCUUAGUUAGCAUAAUGAAAAAUUGUAAACAAUGAAUUAUAAUUUACUACUCACAAAAUUACUAACACCAGUACAAAUCCACGUAGAUUACAACAAUAAAGUGGUAGAUUACUGAAUGGAAGAAUCUUCUUGUAAGGUAAAUAAAAAGACCAAUGAAUGAUGCAAAAAAAGGCUCAGGUUCCUACCCCACACCCCGACGGAAAAACGGGGGAAACAAAAGUGCUUCUCUCCAGACCUAUUUUUUGGGUAUAAACAUUAAUCAGAUUCAACAUCUCUACAGCUUCAACAUGGAAAUUACGAUUGUUGUUAGAUCUACAAAAUCUACAAGCAGAAUCACCCACUCGCACCCAUCAAUUCCACUAGAAGUCUAACGAUUAAAAGUUAGCCACUCAAUAUGAAAGAGGAAAAGGUUGCCAACAAAAACUCAUCACACCAUGUAGGUCAUCCCAACCUGCAGCCGAUUCGUGUUCGGCACACUCAACGUGGCAAUGCCCCUCCUGCAAUUCUUCCGCAGGAACGCGUAAAAGUAAUUUAUUACCAGCUUCUUAAGAAACCAAGAGUCCUUCCUAGCUCUUAUAUCCCCAUGCCCGAGAAGGUAAACCACCCCGUAUUCCUUAGCCCUGCGAAUGAACGAAAGUUCGCGUUCAAGGCUCUGCCUCGCAUCGGAAAUUUCUUCUGCUUCUUCUCGAGAUUCGUUGAAAGAAGUACUGGCUUCUGAGGUGGGCUUUUCGACGCAGCUGUAAUCGGCUAAGAGUGGGGCGGCAAGAGAAUAGACGCUACCGUUGGGAGCUACAAGAAUUCUUGAGCAAGUCGGUUCUUCUUCAGAAUCGGUUUCACCAUCCUCUUCGCUCUCCAAGGAACGCUCCUGGGCUUCCCGACGUAUGAACUUCUCGAGACUCUCGAUCAGAAGUUGCUCGAAGUUCUGGUUCUUUUCCUUGCGAGCAUCCUUGUAUCCAUACCUAUAUAAACAAAUGAGAAAAAGAAAACAAAACAGCAGCAAUGUCAGUCAUUUCUUCCAUAAAAAGAUCAUUAAGUUUUCGGACUCUUCAAAGAUAUUUUGUCUAAAUAAUGUAAUCUAUAGAGAUGACACAAGUUCUGUAUACCUAUGUUGAGAAAAGAAUUAAAAACUAAGAACAAGCACUUCCCAUCACCUUGCACCUAAAUAAAAAAGAGGAACACCAAAUUAACUGUAUAAACAACUUUGAUCUACUCUAGUAACUGACAUCAAAUUCAGUGACGAACUUACACUAAAAUGGUUAUGCUAACUGAUUGAUAUUAAAUAUUCCACAUGAUGUUUCGCAGCGAGAACAAGCAUUUUACCAUGUUUAUAUUGCAUGACCAGUCAUGCAAAACAUUAGCUGGUUCUAUGAAUAGUGUGUAGGAGUUCACAGGUUGCUAAAAUAAGCAAACAAUACAAGAAAUAGGAUGCAACACCAAACACAAUAAUUAACACAUCGCUGAAGUGCUACUCUAUCCAGUAUCGACUUACGAAGCCCAUUUGUAGGUUAGGAGCACACCAAGUUGGCCAACUCCCCAGUAAAUUAAAGCUCAUCUCAACACAACCCAACUGCAUGCUUUUGACGCCUGAGGACUGUUUAUCCAACCUUUCUCCUGUGCGUGAUACUAGACUUGCGCAUUUGCAGAAUGUGCAUGUAUGGAUAACCUCUAAGUAGAAUGAAGAAACAAGUAAACAUAGUUGCAUGUGCAGGAUAUAAUUGUAACACUGUAUUUGUCAUCAAUCUAUUUAGUUACAUGCACCAGAAUCCCUGGACUUUAAUGCAGUUAUAGAUAAACCCCAUCCCUGCCACAAAAGAACCUCCACCUAACUUCAGAAGUUAAAAAAGACUUCGCAAAAAUUCCCAAUUGACCACUCCAAAGAAUGUACACUUGGAUCAUUACACCCAAAUGCACAGGUUAAUCAGGUUCCACCGAUUUUGACUGGGUCAAACAUCUCAAACUCAAGGUCCAUGCCUCAUCCCAGAUUGCGGACAAGUUCACAAACUCCACUAAAAAUUUAAUCAAGUACCUACCAUCAGAACAAACAAGGCAUUUUUCAACAAUCAUAUUCAGUAACAGCCUCUUGGUUGCUAGUUUUGUUAUUCUCAUAUUAUAUCUGAAAAGGUCAUAAAUUAGUUCUCCAUUCUUUUCUCGAACAAAUAAAUAAGUCCAUGUAGUGUAAUUAUAUAUAAAAUUCCAGAACUCAAUUUUUUACCAUUUGUUCAUGACCAACCAUGACCCGAUGACCUGAGAGCUUGGUUUUAAAACCACUGUUUGAAAUGUCAACGAAGUUUAUGAAAUGAGGACUGAGGACGAAGGUUUCUACAAGUUCAAAAAAUAGUAAUCCAAAUGUCCAUUUAAGCAGAGUAUCACCUACCUAGCAAUGCAACGGAACAGGUGAUAGUUUUUGGGGCAGACCCGCCGAAAGAGAAACCGUUCAUUCUGUGGUACCACAGGCACUGGAACAUACUUAAUGCAGACAAAUAUGAUCAUGGAAUGGAUAGCCGGCAAAGUCGUGAGGAAGUGGCCGAAAAUUGCUGGGACACCUCUCACUAACUCGUUGUAAAGCAACCCAAUUCCAGGAGCUCUAAUGGUACCAAGAUUGCUGCCCAACUGCAUCAGCAAAUCCAUUGAAAGUUUUUGUUGUACUUCUGUUUCAUAUUUGAGCUUGCUACCAUAAUUCCAUAUAUACAUAAUCAAGAAUAGCAGUGCUGCAAAUACUAGAAGGACCCAACUUCCAUCUCCCACGUUGCCCAAAACGGAAGAGAAAAAAAGCAAUUCCAAUCCCAGAAAGAAAGUAGAGAAGCAUAGUACAACGAUGAUGUUGAUCUGCCAAAUCAGAAGCAUAAUGAUGGUUACUAGUAAUGUAGUCAUCAUCAUCACUCCGAGCUCGGCAAUGCCUGAAGAAAGUAAUACUCUCUCAUCAGAAGAGGAAAAAAAAUAGCAAAUGAGUAUAAAUGGAAGCCAAUAGAUGAAAUAAAAAAAAAAUGUUCACGAAGAAAAGGUGCAUAGAACAGUAAAGAGAGAGGGAAAAAAAAAAUGUAUAACAGUUACUGAGAAUAACUGAGACGUGACCUUCUGACCCUAACUCUACAAGUCUAUAAUCACAAAAAGAAGUAACUAUAAAUGAUACUUAUUGACACAUAUAUUAUCAGAAAAAUAUCUUAGAAACUAUAUCAGUUUUUGCUACAAACCCCCCAAAAAAUAUAAGUUUCAGAUUCCAGUUUUGGAUCAAUACCUUCCAAAACUUCAACCCUUCACCUUCAGAUUUAAGAGUUUUAGCAGAAACUUCUUUUCAUGGUUUAAAAAAACAAACACAACAAACUUCAAAGGGCAAAUGUAAAGUUCAAAGGGCAAAUGUAAAGUUCAGAGGGCAGUAUCAUAGUUGGGAAAGUUACUUUUGCAGAAGGGUAAAUUGGACUACGGCUUCUUGAACUUUUAGGCAAGUUUUAUUUUUGUCCUCGAACUUUUACAUUUGACAUUUGAGACCCUGUAUUUUCAUAAUUGUUUGUCUAGUCUUUUAGAGGAAAAUCUAUUGCCUGUACAUGGUCCACCUGAAUGUCAUUACUCCACGAAUCCCUUCAUCAAUCUCAUACUUUCAACUCAAUGGUUUAAUUUCUAAAUAAAGAAAAAGCUGCGAUGCAAUGAGAUUGAAAUAUGAAGGGUCGGUAGGGGGAUAAUGCACGAAUAUAGAGAUGCACCAGAUGUAGGCAAUCAUUUUUCCUCUAAUAAUAAUAAGGAUAAGGAUGAGGACCAAAGUGAAACCGUUUUAAGAGUUUAGGGUGCCAAAUGUGGAACUUCUAAACAAAGAAACUUUGCCAACAGUGUUGGUACUAGUGCUAUGAUUUACCGUUUUGUAGAAUAAACACCAUGUUUUGUAAAGCUUCAACAGCAAAGGAUCGAACUAACAAAUGCGAGUUGCUUAACAAAAAAAUAGAAAUAAAAAUAUUUUAAAUACAAAUAUACAAAUUGAUAUGUACUAUUAAUUUUAUUGUAGCGAAAGAAAAGAAAUUACAAUUACUACUACCUUACUUUAUUGACAUGGACUAAAAGUCAGCAUGACAUUCUUCCAAUGUUGAGCAUGAGUUAUAUGCCUGUAGAUUUGCAAGAGUGCGAGUAUCAAAGAAGGCAAAGUACAAGCACAUUUAGCGUGUAUUGUUAGGGACUUCGAAAAUUUAUGCACAGUACGGUCCCUAGCCCAACUCUGCAAGCUGAAACGGGUUGUCAAUGAGGCCCAAUUCCAGCCCCUCUAUGGGAGAAUAAAGGGUUGCAAAACGGCCACCAUUAUGCCUUAGAAACUACUGAGACUCAUGGAAAACUCUUGGGCUUGGCAUUGAUGAAGGCUCAUUAUGUGUAUUAAUGGAUGAGGUAGUAGGUGAGUUAUGAAGGCUAGAUUUAUUGUAUCUUAGGCCUAUAAAUUGUGGAAAUGACUAAGGCCAAAACACAAGAGGAGUUGUGUAUUGUAGUCCUAUUUUUCUAACUAGUGGAGUACUUAGUUUUUUGGGAACCUCUGUCUCUCUCUUAUUUUCUUUUUGCACACUUAGUCGUAGGUCGCAGAGGUCCAGGCUAGCAACAAGGAGCUAGACUUGCACAUCUUCGAGCAGAAAGGCGGGCGCCGCACGGGCUUUGCGAGCAAAAACACUAUGGCCGUGACAGCAGGGUCGUAUAACUAGAGUGGCAAGUGCAGCAGAACAAGAGAAAACAUUGCAAGUCAUGGACAUAAUGCCAGUGUUUAUGAAGAGUAUCACAAUGUAGGAGCAUAAGGUUGUUGAGAUCUAUAGAAUCCUUUCCCAUCUCUCUCAUAGUCAUCAUUUUUCUCACAUCAUGUCUCCUCUUUCUUUACUUUUAGAUAAAACCAAAGUACAGUGGGUAUGAACUCAAGACUCAUUCUCUCACUAUAAAGAACAACGCAUUCAUUGGAAAAAAUUCGACGCAAUCAAGGAUUUAAGUGCCCAUUGGCACGGGCCGUAUCCACUGUGCCGUACGUGUCAACAAGAUAUCGGCACGAUACAGUCAUCGUGCCAAUGGCAUAGCUCAAAAGCCUCUAUUUCUUUAAAUUAGUAAGUAAUUUUCACAAUAAAGUUCAAAAGAUUUGUUAAAGAUACAUAAUAAACAAUUAGAUAAUUUUUGUUGCUAAAAAAAAUAAAUAUUUCAUGCCAUUAUGUGUUGCGCACAUGUAUUUUUUGUGACCAACAUGCAUCGGCAUGGCCCGGCACCAUUGUUUGAAAAAGCGCGCCUUAAGCACGCGCCUAGGCGGCCUAGCACGAAGGCAGCCGCUAGGCAGGAGAUGUUGCCUAGGCGCGCCUAGAGCUAGGCGCAAGGCGCCAUCAAGGCGCGCCUUCUUCGUAUCUAUCCUAGUGGAUUUGGAUUAGAUCUAUAUGCUCUAAUGGGUUUGGAUCCAUAUAUUUAUUGGUCUAAUGGGUCGAAACAUCUAAAAUAAACCCAAAACCCUAAACUAACAUAAUGUAAACCCUAAACAAUCAUCAAAAUCUCUCUGCUCCCUUUCCCUCUCUCCGCUCGUCCCUCUUUCCCGCUCGUCCGUCACGUCCGGCUCCCUCCGCUGUCUCUGGCUCUCCCUCUCUCCCGCUUGUCAUUCACCUUCGGUUCUCCCCGUUGCCUCCGGCUCUCCCUCUCUGCUUCUUCAACUCAGCUCGCCUCUCCCUCCAAGGUGUUCAUCUCUCCCCUUCUCUCUCUCUAGUUUCUCUCUUGUGUAUAUUUCUUUGUAUUUUUAAAGCAGUGUUUUUUAUGUCUUUUUUUGAAGCAGUGUUUUUCUCUGUUUUAUUUUUAAAAAACAUUAUUUUACUUUGAUAAAACAAACUUUUUUAAAGUAAAAAGAGUUCUUGAAAAUAAAAUCUAAUUUUAUAUAUUUGCCGAAUUGCAGUUUAAUUUCUUGAAUGGAUUCGAAAGCAAUCAAAAGAGAUCCUGCAUGGAAGUAUGUACAUUUAGCAGGUAAAAAAAAUAAAAAAUGAUCUUACAUGUAAUUUUUGUGGAAAAGUAACAAGAUGAGGGAUUUACCAAGCAAAGCAACAUAUUCCAAAAUGCAAAAACAUGAACGACAUGUCCGCGACAUAUAAGGGAGGAAAUAAAAGAUUUUAUGAUGAAGAAAGUAACAAAAAAGGAACAAAGUAACAGAAAAGGAACAAAGUAAGUUCAUGCCCAACUUUGAAGAUGCAGAUCACUUCGAUAACAAUGAAGAGGGAGAUGAUGUUCCGGAAUUGAACUUCGAAGGAAAAGGAGUUCAAAGCAAAAGUAGCGGAUGUAGUAUAGGUAGUAGUAGAAGUGCACCCAAAAAACCAAGGCAACAGGGACCAAUGGAUUUGUAUUUCACUCCCAAUGCAGAGAAGGUAGUUCAAGACAGAAAAAAUGGAAAAAUGAAACAAUCUACGAUUAAUAAAGUUUGUAGGAAAGAGUUGAGAGAAAAAAAGUGUAGAGAACUAGAUAGAUGGUUUUAUGAUGUAGUAAUACCUUUCAAUGCUGCUAGUUAUGAGCUGCUGAGUGGUGGAAAUUGUUUGGAUCAUCAACACCAGACUAAAUUUGAGACUAGGUUUCUUAGCCUAACUUGCAGUGCUUCUGGUUGUGAGCGAAAUUGGAGUGUAUUUGAACAUGUAAGUUAUCUAUAUUAAAUCAUCUUAUACUGCUAUAGUUAUAAUAUUUCGGUAUUUAUUUGAUAGUUUUGAGUUCUUAAUUUAAUACUUGAAAUUUCAUAUUAUCUUUAUUAUCAUAAAGUUGUUCGUUUUUUUUGCAGCUUCAUAAUAAGAAAAGAAAUACGCUCACGUAAAAACACUUAAAUGAUUUGGUGUAAGGUACAACAGAGCAUUGAGGCGGCGAUAUAAAUUGCAUGACACCAUCGAUCCUAUCUCAAUGAGUGAAAUUGAUGAUAGUAAUGAAUGGUUGAUUGGAAAAAUGGAUAAGACAAUGAUGAUAAGAGGGAAGACGAGGAUAAUGUUUGGGAAGAUGGCACAUUGACAUGGAGUAUGGUGGCUAAAGCAGUAGGGGUGAAUCAACCUACCCAUCAUACUAGAUCACGUAGUUUCACCAAGAAUAAUGGUAAAGGAAAGGCAAAAGCUUCAUCUUCUCAAUCUCGGAAUAUUAGUAACUUUAUAAAUAAUGAAGAGCCUGAUUUUGGUCAGACUCUCGACACAGAAGAUGAAGAAGAAGAAGACAAUUGGAGAUGACAAAUCUGGUGAGGGAGAAGAGCAUUCUUCAUCAAGUGAUGAAGAUGGUGACUGAUGAUUGCUAAUUGAUGAUUGAUGAUUGAUGAUUGAGGAAUGAAGACUAAUAAAUAUUUCUAGUGUGACAUAUUUUGGCUUGGAGGUUUGAACACUUCGCUUUUAUAUAAUCAUGAUGCCCUUUUAAUGAUCUUUAGUUUGAAACUUUGAACUUUUAUGCAUGUUACCUUUUUAUGAUCUUAUAAUUAUAUGUUUUUCACAUCAAAAUUUCCUAUGUAUUUGUGAAUUACUAGUUAUCUUUAUGCUGGCCUUUAUUUGGAGACAAAAAGGUACUUUGUUCUUUACUUUUAUAUGUGUUAUUUUGUUUUUUAAAAAUUAUCAUUUAUGUUGCUUGGCUUCUUUUCUUUUCUUCAUUUUGUUCCUUCCGAAAACAUGAUUAUUUGGGUUGUUAUAGAAUAUUUAUGGUGAUACUAUGAUUUUAAAGAGUAUAUUUAGUGCUACUUAACAAUUACUAGAAAGUAUAGUAAAGAACUUCUUGGUUAUUUUAAAAUUCUAUGAAAGUGUGCGCCUCGCCUCUCUCGAUCGCGCGCCUGAGUGUUGCGUCUAGGCUCUAAUAGCCCUUUGUGUCUAGGUACACCUUGGACUUUCUUAAACACUGCCCAACACGUACCGUGCCGUACCAUGCCGUCAAAUUUCUGGCACGACCUCGUGCUACGGCACUUAAAUCCUUGGAUGCAAUAUAUGAGUACAACAAACAUCCUAUGGCAUAUUUAGGAUAACUGCAUUGACAAGAAGUGAAGAGUAGGUCUAAAUUUGAAACAGUGGUAGUUGAUGAACUAUUAAUUUAAAAGUCAGAUUCAAACUUUUUUGGCCUUACACUAUCCAGAGAAUACUAUAUAGUGGCUCAUUGGCCUGACUAGGACAGUUCGUUAGCAGCACAUUAAAUGCUUAUCCUAAGAUAAUUUCAGUUAGAGAAGGGAAGACUAAAUUAAAGGAAUUAAAGGGAAAUCAAAAGAAGACCCACAUUCUUUAAAGCAAGCUAUCCCACACUGACAUCUAUCAAUAUCAGACAACUCCUGGGACAAAUCACCUAAAGGAUGAUUGAGGUGUUCAAAUGUUAGCCCUUUACACACUGAAACAAGAUCUACACCUAAAUCAGUAUAGUUGUACCGAUCUUCUCCAUUUUUUUUCCAGUCAAAGGUAGUUGAAAGAAUGAUAGAAAAUCUCCACUUUGAAACUAAGAACUAAAUGAUUGUUAAAUCAGUUAUAUGAGACAUACCAUAUGCAUUGCCAAUCUCACUGAUACUUCCGAAGGCAGCAACAAAUGCCAAGCAAGAAACAAGCAAGGACCAGUUUAUUACUGGAAUAUAUAUCUGUCCCAUGAACGUGCGAGAGGUGUGAAUGAUUUUAAGGCGAGGAAAACAACCAAGAGCUGUUGCCUGCUUUACGAUUGAGAACGUUGCCGUUGUCAUUGUACGACUUGCAAUUAAUGCAGCUACAUUGGCUAUCAGAAAGAUCGGCCAGAAAACACUGCCUGCAAUAAAUCAUGUUAGUCCUGUCAAUCAAGAUUUACAAAAGAGGACUACCUAUAAACAGAAACCUUUCAUCUUUUGAAUACUAUAAAAGAAAGUAAUGUUACAAGAAAAUCAACUGAUUUAGCUUACUUGGAAUAGAUGAAAAGAAGACCUGCUGAUUUGUACUUAAAUUUUCCAUCAAAAAUGCAGCCUGGCCAAGAUAACCCAGCAGAAGGCAAGGAAGAACCAGAAAUACAAAGGUAAUCUGCAUUAAAAUUUAAAAGUUAAUAUAGAGUUUCAGAACAGUAAACCAGAAUAAGAUCAUCAUAAGAUUGACAAAAAUGUUUCAACAGAACUGUAGAAGUGAGAAAAAGAACAUUCAAAUGCAUAGCCUCCAACACUGUCUUACCUGAACAGACCUAACAGAGAAAUAGCAAAGGUCCGCAAACAUUGCCUCAGACCCUGUAAAGCCAUAAGCCUAGUAAGUCACAACCAUGCUAUUGCAAUGGAAUUUCACAAUUAGCAGUCCCCUAGGACAACUAGAAAUAAGGGAUGGCUUAAACAUUUAUCCUGCUCAAAUUAUUCCGAUAUUGAAACUUUUAGCACUUUCACGAGACAGUCGAAGUUAACAAGAUUUGUUGCAGAAUUCAAGGUUGUCUGCUAUUUAAAUUUAUGAUGCAAGUUAGAAAAUAUGGUCAAGCCAAGAUCAAUACAAAUGGUUAGAACUUGUUGAAAAAACAUACUUCAACCCAAUCAUAACAAGUCUGACCACAAAACAAAUUCUUUCUGAUCAGUGCAUCAACCAUUGCAAGUGUAGCAGUUUCCACAAUGGAUGCAUACAAAUGAUAGGACCACAAUUGCAUUUAGAACACACGAAUUACCACAAGUCAAAUAAUCUAGAGAAUGUACAGGAAAAGUGAAAGCAGCAUUCUGAAAUUCCUAUUUCUUUUGCUGUGAGUACAAAUAGGCACAAAGAUGAAGAAAUUUCGGCCUCAGGAAUAAAGAAAGGAGGAUGAAGAUAACAUCAAACCUUCUCAGGCCAAAGAGUCCAAUUGUUUCUCAUUAAUAUGUGUACAAUUCAUGGAGAAGCCUUGCGAUACUAAUGAACACUUGAUUAAAGAGUCAACUGAAAAUAAAACUCCUAAUCAGAUUACUCAAGUUUUAGAAUAAGAGAACCUCUUUCCUUCUGGAAGACAACUAUAAAAUUUUAGAAUAAGGGAACCUUUUUUCCUUCUGGAAGACAACUAUAAAUCUACUUCGAGAUAAAGAUUAACUUUGUUAGGAUAGUUUAACAAAAAGCUCAUUUUUGCCAAGGUAUCAACUAAGAAAGUCUAGUACAUAAUAUUCGUUAAGCUCAUUUGCCAAAUGAUAAAAGCAUGGUUUUUGAGACACUUAAAGUUCAAAUAGGAAACUGAGAAAGCAUGUAAUGCUACAAUCUCCCUAUAUAAUAAAAAAAUUUUAUAGGUCGCAUGCUGUUCAGAAGCAAUUCAGAAACACCAAAAAUCGACCCAAAAGCAUGCGCAAGUGCUCCACCCCAUACCUGUGACACACAGAAGACAGCCCCCAAGAGACAGCCAAGCCUGUGUGGGAUUUCUUUCAAAAAAAUGAUAAAUGUAAACAGGGUUAAAUGCCCUAAAAACUUCAAAUCCAUAUUUAAUGAGAUUGUAUACUCCGAUGCCCCCAAGGCAGCAAAACCAUAUGAAUAAAGCAGGCCCUACUGCAAGCCCCACUUUGCUCGUUCCAAACCUUUGUACACUGAACAAGACUAUAAGAAAAGCUACUGAAAUCAUCACUACUUCAUCUGCAACAAAUACAGAACCAGAAAAUAGAUUAAGCACGUCAAUGCCACGAAUAAUAUAAAACAGUAGCGUAACAAUAAAAUCAAGAAUAUGAAAUACAUGCAAAGUCAUCUGUUUUCCACUUCUAGUUUGUCAGGAGUAAACAUAAAAGUCUUAAACUCAUGAUUUUCACAACAAGGUAAUCAUCUCUUUAUGGCCCACGCAAUUGUUAAGAUGACUGUACAACUUGAAGUCUUGAACCAUUCAUAUGUCUCGCACAAAUAUAUGAUUUUAUAGUCUAGGUGACAUGAAAUUCAUGACGUAGGUGUGGCAUGAGCACGCCGAGCCAUGCUAGUUAUAUGGUGCUUCGUGUAGUGCUUUCUAUUAACACGAAUACUUGCAAUUAGGGUCUACUCAUUUAGGGCCAAUUUAACCCUACUAUAGCGUGCACUGUUGUCUGAUAAUUGGGUUGUCCUAUUAGAAGUACUAAAAUACCUUAACACCUCUCUACAGCAAAAUCCAAAUUGGAGCUGGUUCUUUUUGGCUUGGAAUCUCAAUUCAAUUCUCACCACAACAAACUUUUCUAUUUGCCAAACUUUCUAUUGGAGGUGGCUGCAGCUAAAGCGUUAGUAGAGGAAGGACCAAAAAUGCAUUCAAAUAUCAAGAACACUGAGCCAUCUCGAUCCAAUGUAACUAUGAAGUGAAAUUCCCCAUCAGUGAAUCUCCAAAGCUUCAUGUUAUGGAUAAGCAACCACUAUCAACAAUUACUUACAGCAAAAGUCCUUUUUAUUGUUGCUUCUGUGUUAAUGCACUUCUGACCCUUUCCAAAAUUCAUCUUCUCCAAUUUCUCUUGCAUGAGAAAGUUAAAUUUCAUAUGCUUAUGUCAAAAUCAUAAACAAGCUAGCACCGAGCUAACAGCAUGACAGAGCUCAUUAUCACAAGAGCCCCAACAUGUAGUGGCAACCAAUGACUUGCACACUGCUGUGCGAUGAAAAUGCAGAUCUUUUGCAAAUUAUUCCACAAAUCUAUAACAACUGUUUUUCUCGUUGCUUUACCUUGACAAUAUCCUUUCGAUCGUAGUUGUUGGUAGGGUUGGCAAAUGAGUGAGCCGGCUCGUGUUUGACUUGCGUUCGGCUCGCUAUUCUGCUCGCUCGAGCUCGACUCGAAAUUAAAUGAGCCGAGCUUGAACAGAAAAAGAAAUUCGAAAUUUAUUUCAAGCCGAGCUUGAGUAUUACUACGCUCACUCGAAUUAGGCUCGAAAAACUCGAAUAUAUAUAUCCAUGCAAUCUAUCUAUUUGCCACUGCUACACAGCCACGUGGCCCCUUCUCAUUGCCCUUCUUUUCUUUCCUUUUUAAAAUUUUUAACUCUCAUUUAUUUUCAACUCUUCAUUGCAGAUUUGACGGCCUCCAACACCUACCUCUUCCCUUCCCCAAGAGCCACUCAAUCUCUGCCCUUGAUUUCUUUAAUGGACGGCUGUGGCGGAAUGUCCUCCUUCCUUUCCCCUCAGCGCCUUCCUUUCCCUAUGUGUGGCGCCUCUUCCGCCCGAAGCGCCUCUCUCUCUCUCUCUCUCUCUCCCCUCUGUCCUCUCCUCCGAUGCCUAUGGUGUCAUGAUUAGGGCUUCUUACCUACCCCAUUUGGCCAAUCCAAUCUCGCCGAUUGCGACAUUCGCCGAUCCAACGGUUGCCAUUAAGUUGGUUCCUAUGCUGCCUAGGGACCUAAUCUAUGCUACAGGUAGCGUCACCCUAGCUUCCUCUCUGCCCGUUGCCGGUGCUUUUCUCUACUGCUUUCUCUCUCUUCUCCAUCUUCCUCUCCGCUCUUCACCAGCCUAUUGAUUCGACAGCAACGAUGGGAUAGCUAUAUUUCACAGAUUUUGUGGAGAUAUUGUAAAAUCUUGGACAUAGUGGGUGUGGACUGAGAUGUUUCUGGUGCUUUUUAGUAGUGUUGUGCAGGUGUUUUAAUGUUGGAAUUUGUGGGUUAAUUUCGGGGAAAAACGAGUUUAAUUUAAGAUGUAUGGGGACUGUUACUAUUCACUUAAGUGAAUAGUAAUAGUAACCUGUGUUUUAUUUUGAGGCUUCGAUUUGAUAUUGGCUUCGAAUGUGAAUCGAACUUCGUUUCGGAUGACCCAAUAGGUUAUUUUCGAUGGUUCGGCUAUGCCGGAGGUGAUGGCACUGACCGAUUUUACGUUUGACGCACGGUUUUCGAGGAAAUCUGCUUUUAUCGCAUUUUGGCCUUUUACUACGCGAUAUUUUUGCUUUUUGGAAUUCUUCGGUGCUCUGUUUUGCGUGAAAAUUCAUAGGAUGGUGCCACUGGGUUUUUUACACACAGUUGUGAGUUUUCAGAAUGAAACUCUAAGGUUGGAGGGCUAAAUUGCGGUUUUUGCAAAUUGCAAUUUGGAGCACUUCGCGAAAGGGCUGUCAUUUUAUGUGAGUAAUUUCACAGUUUGGUGAGUGGAGGGAUCUGCAUGAAAGUAGACUCGGAAAGGAUCUCUCUACCUGUGCAAAACGGCUCCAGGAUGAAGUCGAGUAUCCGGGGGGCUUCGUUGUAAUGAGACGAGAUUUUUUAAGCGUUAAAUUGUGUGGACUUGAGAAGAGGUGCUAACAUGCAACUGUUGCAGGUUGUUAAGGGCUAGAUUUGAAUGCUGGGAAUUUGGUAGGGGGGUUUCAUGUAGACUUUUUAAAUAUUAUGCAUGUGUGUGUGUGUGUAUAUAUACAUAUAUAUAUAUAUGUAUGUAUGUAUAUAGGAUCUUUAUCUUAAGAAUUAAUCGCACAUUGGUCCCAACCUUUUCACUAUUUUUUAUUUUGAUCCUUAAUUUUUUUUUUCAAUUAAGAGAGGUUUUAGAAUUAACGAUAUUAUCAUGCCAUCGCCUAUUUAGCUUUCUUUUGCAUGUCAAUUUUGGUCCCUAAACUUUAUUUUUCACCUUAGUCCCCAAAAAUAAAAAUUUGAAAUUUUGAUUUUAAAUCUGAAAUUAAUCUUAAAAUUAAUUCGAAAACUUAUUAGUAGCUCUACUAUAUAUAUAUAUAUAUAUAUAUAUAUAUAUAUAUAUAUAUAUAUAUACACUAGAGCUACUAUACUCUUAUGAGUAUAGAGUCCUUCGUACUCAUAAGUUGUUUUCAAUGAAGGAGCUUUCGAUUGCGACGAUCCACUCCAUUAAAUAUGAUCUAGAGUAUUUGAAACUUCUAAAAAAUAAAUUUCAUAAUUUUUCGAAAUUAUAAUAAAGUCCAUCAAAUGGGAUCCGGACUCUAUAUAUAUGUAUGUCUAUAUAUAUGUAUAUAUAUAUGUAUAUGUAUAUAUGUGUAUAUAUAUAUUGAUUUUAAUUAUAAUAAUUUACUGUAAUAAUACCUUCCCGCUGCAUUGCGCGGGCCCUUAACUAGUUAUAUAUAACCUAGCAAUGGGAACCCUAGCCCGAGCCCCUUCUCCCAGCCGCUGCAUUGCAUCCCAGCCCCGCUGCCGCAGUGCAUCCCAGCCCCACUAUCGACAACCUCUUCGACCGGCGGGGCAAAACUAUGGCAGGGAUUCUCUCUCUCUCUCUCUCCUUUUUUUCUCUCCCUCUCUUUCUUUCUAUUAUGGAUAUGGUUGGAGAGGAGGCUCGAGCCCUUUUCCCUAGGCCGCGGCCACCUGAGGCUCCGGCGACACUCCCCGAGCCGCCAUCGCCGCUGCCACGCGCCAGGGGGAGCUACUGCCCGAGGUGGUGCCUUGGGAGCAUGUGCGGCCGUGGAGCUCCACCCAACCGUUGCCGCCGCACAGAGCUGCCCUAGCCUUCCUUCGCCUGUCCCGGGAGGAGCCCCGAUAUCAUCGCUGACCUCCCCAAAUCGCCGGAAAGGCCAUGUGCUCGUGCCCUAGCCGCAGCCUGAUCUUGGGCCACAGCGUCACAGCUGCGCUGCCGCACCUUCCGCAGCCGGCCAAGGGUGCCGGCCACCUCCCUGGGUGCGGUGACCUCCCCCUGGCCGAAGCUCGCCUCUGCGAGCCGCCGGCCAUCGCCGUUGUGCUGCCCUAACUCUGCCUAGCCUCGGGUCUGGGAGUAGGCUGGGCUGGUCUUUAGUGUUCCGACCGACAAGGGCUCCCUCGAGCCUCCGAGGCGUGAGCACGGCUUUUCCUGAGUCUUUGAGGAAACUGAUGCUCACCUUCCUUGUUGUUGAGAAGCCGCGGAGUGCGUGACGAUUGUGGCCGUUCCUGGGACAUCAUUUUUGGAGAGUUUGCUUGCUGUUUUGAGGCUCUACAAUCAUCGUCUUCGCUCUGGAUAGCGAGCACGAGUUUCAUAACAUCAAGACGAGUCAAGUCGACUGGUUGGUUGGAUCCGUUAUGACGCAGAUUGGGGUAACGAACUCGAAACCCGAUUCUAUGUAAUAUUUGAUUAACGGUUAAUGCACUAAUUGAGUUGUUUGUGAGUGUUACGCAGUGGAAACCCUGUGCACUGCCCUGGAUAGCGUGAAAAUGCUGUUAGCCAUCUUUUAACUGAUCGUGAAAGGUUCGGGAGCCGUGAGAGGUGAAGACGAGGUGCCAUGACGUCGUUUGGUGGAAAUUCGCCGAUCGGACGCGGGUCGUUUUGUGGGUUUUGGUGUUCUAGCAUCAUGGAUAGCUUGAGAACCCCGCCAUGCCUCGUUGGCUGGUUGGCACCUCGUUGGUGCAAAGCACGAACCAGCGACCCUAGGUGGAUUCCGAAGUCAAAAUUGAUGAUUUUCGAGAACCCGAUACGACGGAUUUUGGAAAUUUCGCACCCAGAUCGCACACUUUGUGCGCUGCUGUCCUAACACCUAAAAGUUAGUGUUUCGGGACAGCAAGGAUGGUUGAAUGAAUUGCGGAGUGUUUUAGAACACUAUAGGACUAACCCGAACCCCAAAAUGUGGAAGUUUGGCGAUUUCAGGCGUGAUUUUGUGUCGCGCGGGUUGCUGCAGUUCGCAGCAAGGUAGGAGCUUUAUUGGUUGGUUUUAGUGUGAGGUUUGACACUUCUAAUUGCAGCAUGAGGGCUGCGGGUGGUUUCGGUGCCGAAAUGGGCAUCCCACGAGCCAAACCGGUAAUUUCCGGGAUCUUGAUUUUCUUGUUGGGUGCACUUUUCGUGCGGCUAUCCCAACAGCAAAAGUUUGGCAUUUUGGGACAACGGACAAGGUGCGUUAUAUAUUUGUCUUGUUUCGGGACACCUCGCAGGUUGGGGUGACAUUCCGACAAGUCGAUGCAACACUCGAGCGAUCUUUCAGUGACCGUUGAACGGGAUCCAAAAACCCGAUUGUUCGUCUGUUUGGAUUCAUAUAGAAUCAUAAGCUUCUGUAAUUAGCGGGUUUGGGCUAAUUAUGAUUUUGGAUGGGACUUUGCAUAGGUCUGGACUGUGGCGGGAGACAUCAAUAGGGUGUUGAUGACCCAGUUUUAUUUUUCGGUAGAGGUGGGUACUUCGAUCCGAAGUCGAUUCAGCUAUGCCUUCUCGGUGAUUUCUUUCCUUCGUAUCGUCUUUGAUUUGAGUAAUACAUGCAUGCUUAUCUACUGAGCUUUUGCACCUCACUCGUUUUCUGUUGUCUACUCUACGGUUUAUUCUCAUCUAUGGUGUCAUGAUUUAAAUGUAGAGUAGCAUCGAUUAUGAUUAGUUGUCACGAUUUGAUUACGGUGGUUGGCGUUACACAGUGAUAUUGUUUAUCCAUUGUAUGAUGCCCUUUUGUAUCUCGUACAUGAUGAUUUUUUGUAUCUCAUACAAGGUGACUUGGUUAUAUAGACCUUAUAGGUCAGUGAUAUGGUGACAUUUUCCUUCGGGAAUGGUGGACCUAAUUUGGUCGGACAUUGCGGAUUACUCUUUCGGCUAGUUGCUGUUGUUGGCCAUAGAACAUAUUGCAUCGAUGCCACAACUCGUGAGCAUCUUCGCAUACAUCAACGGUCUGAUCCACCACAAGAGGGUGUUCUUUUCUGAAAAAAAUGGUCGUACUUCCGACCCGUGAGCCCUACAAGAUGCCUAUUAGAAUUAUAUACCAGGUGGGCAAACAGGAUAUGGUUUAGCCUAAGGUCUAUCGACCAAUACAGUAGUUGUUUUGGUUGUUGAUAUUAUUCACCCAUUUAAUUGACAGUUGUAGUUCUUUCCUAGCCAUUACUGCUACUAUUCUGAUACAUCUAUUGCUUAUGCCUAGUUAUCGAUUUCUACUUACAGUAACAGUUACAUUCGUAUUUAUUGUUAGUUGUUAUUGCCUUACUACUAUACUUGAUUUACCUUUUCAUUACUGUUGAUUAUCUCUUUAUCUGCCGGUGCGUAUAGCUCGCCUUCGUCGGUUUGUGGUAUCCACUGGAAGGGGGAGACGUAUUUAUAUGUUCUCACCCUCUAUUUUUUAGGUGACUUCGGCGGUAAGGGUCGGGACUGUGCGUGAGGGCAGUAUUAAAUAGUAAUGUUCCAGAUCUAUCUGUUGUUAAUAUGUAUUAUCUUUCUAUUGGAUUAGUUUAGUUUAUCACCUACUAAUGUCUAAAUAUUAGUGGAUGGUUGUGGAUUAUUGUUGUUAUAUGAUCAUUAUUGUUUGUGUUGUGUAGUUGUAUGUGUGCUUGAUCUUAUACUUUGGUGCUACGUCGUGUAUGUACAGGGGAGACUGUUCGUUUGUAUAUGAAAUUCUUUGUCCAUGCGGUGGGUCUGUGUACGUCUGCAAGGUGUUCUUAGAGGUGUUUUAAAAAAAAAAAUCUAUACAUUUUCCGCCAGUUUUUCUAAAAAGAAUUUCCAAAAGAACUCCGGGGCGUGACAUAUUGUAGAAUCUAGUGGGUUUAUUUUUACCUGUUUUUUGUCAUUAGGUUUUCAUACUAUUUCUCUCUCACAUUUUUCUUUGUGCAUCAGAAAUAAGCUGAGCUUUUCACGUGCCAGAGUUUGGACGGCAUAUUCAUAGGCAACUUUGCAGAUCUACAGAGCUACUUUGCCGGAUUUUUGAGGUAAUGUAGGAAACUUAGUACAAUAAAAAAAAUUACCAUUUUCACAUAUUUUUGUAAUUUUAGGCGUAGCAUUAAUUACCAAGUAUUAAUAUAUUAGUAUAUUAAUAUAUUAAUACAUAUUCACUAUUUUGGGUGUUUAGAUCCUGUCACCAUGCUAAAGUAAUGAAAUCAUUUAUAUUGUUUGUUUUGUAGCAUGAAUAUGGGGGGAAUUCAACGCACUGGCUAUUAUGUCGGCAGAAUUAGGGAGAGAGUAGGCUUAUUAAAGAGGCCCAUCAAUGUAAAUAUUGAGGAAAUUUUUGAAAUUGUUGGAUUCUCUAAAAAUAAAAAUAAUUAUUUUAAUAAAUAAAUUUUAGGUAAAAAUGUACAGAAUCUAUCUGAAUUAUGUAACAUUUUGAAUGAACUAUUCAAUUUUUAAAAAUUUUAAUUUUAUUAUCUCACCUUUCAAUUUAUUUGAUUUGAGUCGGUCCACAGUAUUUUCAUCUUGAAAUUUUGAUUUCAGUCGGUCCACAGUAUUUUCAUCUUGAAAUUUAAGCUAAUAACUUACUUUAAUAAAUUUAUAGUUACAAGAGUUAUAUAAGAUAUACUAAUUAAAUCUGCGAAGAUGAAUGAUACAUUCAAAAUUUAAAAAAAGUUGGUUCUUCAAAAAUUUCUAGUACCUAAUGAUUUUUGUAAAGUAUUUGCUUAUAUCCACUUCAAAAUAUUUUGGAUCAUGAUAAAAAUUGAAUGAGUAAUGCUACCUUCAUACUUAUAAUAUAGGUGUAAGAUUUAAUUAUAAGCUUCUAUAAGUUGAAUUUAUCCACUUGUAUAUAUAUAUAUAGUCCGACUACUAUACUAUUGAAUAUUGAUAGUAUCAAGCACUUGGUGUUAUCGAGUUUUUCGCCGUAAGAUCUAUCCCUUUGACCAUUUCCACCCGUUAGAUCACAUUAUUCAAUUAACCACCCACUCAACCCAAGGGGGUCACUAUCGUCCUAGCCGCACAUCCUUUCAUCCAAGGACCGGAAACCUAAUAGCAAGCACUUGGUACUAUUAAUUGUAUAUAUAUAUAUAUAUAUAUAUAUAUAUAUAUAUAUAUAUAUAGCUGCUAUACUCUUAUGAAUAAAGAUCCCUUUGUACUAAUAAAUUUUCGACCGUUGGAUGAAGAGAUGUGCGGUUAUGAUGAUAGUGGUCCUAGUUAGGAUGAUAGUGAUCCCUAGGGUUGAGUGAGUGGUUGGUUGAAUGGUUGAUUUAACGGAUGGAAAUGGUCAAAGGGGUAAAAAUAGUAGCCGGACUCAUAUAUAUAAUUAUAUAUAAUAAUAUAUAUUAUGUAUUUUAGUUAUAUGUAUAAAGAGUUUAGGUUAUUAGGCCCACAAAACCAAACUAGCAAAACCUAACUCUAAUUGCUCUCUCUCUGUCACUUGCUCAUAGAGUCGCUUCCCGUAAUUUUUUUUUUAAUAUUACAAUAUCGUAUUUCAUGCAUUUAUUUUGUAUGUUGAACUAUUAAACAUUUUUGUAUCAAAUUUUAGAUAAUAUUUUGUAAAAAUUAAACUAUAGAUUGCAUAAUGUUAAGAAUUUCAAACGGCUCGUUUAGGGCUUGAGCUCGCUCUACUCAAAAGUAGGCUCGCUCGAGCUCGGCUCGAAUUAAUUUCAAGCCGAACUUGAACCUAAAUUUAGGCUCGAAAUUAAUUUCAAGCCAAGCUUCAGAAGAGGUAAGCUCGCUCAAGCUCGGCUUGUUUCCACCCCAAGUUGUUGGAGAGUUAUGUAAACUCGACCUCAACUUCCUAUGUUUUAAGAGGUGUUUAUACCUUUUACAGUCAUAACGUUCUACACUUAUACAUACAUGGGGCCUUAAAAUAUCACUUAACUAAGCUUUAAGAGGAUAUGUUUAUACCUUUUACAGUCAUGCCCUUUAUGUCUUUUUACUUCUACACUUGGACAUAUAUGGGACCUUAAAAUGACACUUAACAACCAUAAAUGGAGCAAUAGUAAGAACGAGGACGUCAAUAAAUAAAAAAGAAAUAAAGAAUAGAUCCAAAAUUUGUCAUAAAUAGUUGCAAAUGCCCUAUAAAAGAACUAAUCCAAGUAAUAAUUGCUUACAUAGUCAUCAGCAGACUAAAACUUACCAACCGAAGUUUAGACAAGUUAAUACAAAUUCAAAAAAGGCAGUAACUUACAUAAAGAAUAUAUAAAUGGAAUUUACGACUUUAGCGGAUUGAAAGUCGGCUAGUAGUGAAGGAGUAAGAGCAAGCUACUACUUCCUUGGAAAUAUCUUCCUAAAUUUUUAGUGUCUAAGUAUUCAAUAUAUAUAUAUUUCUUCAAGUUCAAGGAAAGCUAAGUUUGCAUUGAAGUCACAGAUACUAAUACAUGUCAGAUUUGUACAGGUUUAAAAAAAAUAUAACAGGAAUAAGAAACACUAGAAUUUAAUAAAGUAAACACUGAAAUAGUGAGAUUACCUUGUUCGACACUAGAUAUCCCGACCCUCAAGCCACUUACAGCUGACAUUACUGCGAAAGAAAAGGAGACAUAUAAUAAAUGACAGAUAAAACAAGCAAAUAAUUAUACGCGUUAAAACAGGUGGUUCAUCAAACAUCAAAUAUCAUCACAUUCAUCAUUAACACAGUAAACAACAUCACAUUGAAAACAAUAAUGACACAAGGUAGAGUAAUAGCAAACCAGACAUCGCCGGAGUGACAACUCCAACUGCAAUCAUCAUAGAAGUACCAAAAAGCACGAGCAUCAGGAGAAGCUUCUUUAGCGUUAAUGAAGUCUCAAGAUUCUCUUUUAUUUUCAAAGACCUCUCAAGCUCCGGCGACGGCACCUUGAGGCGAAAACUCGAUAUGCGAGCAUCAGAUGGCAAUUGGUUAGGCAGAAGGCUGGCCUUUGCUUUCCUGCAGAUCAACGAAUACAAAGCAAAUAUCCCCCCUGAAAGGUGUUUCGCAAGGUCAAAUAUCCAUACAUUAUAUACUUGCACAAAAAGGGAAGUGUAAAGAUUCCAAUAUCUAUCAUACCUUCUCCAUCAUCAUUGCCCCAUAGAACAAUGAAAACGUACUUGACCAAUGGUAUGAGGAUCAAGGUGUACAAUACCAGAGAUAGCGCUCCAAGAACAUCUUCUUUCACACUAAUAGGAUAUUUGUUGAACAUCACAUCAAAAGUGUACAACGGACUGGUCCCGACAUCCCCAAAUACAACUCCCAGUGUCUGGAAAGCAACUACAAGAUACCUUCCCAGAUUAAACUCCUGCAUUUAACUAACAUCAAAUUCAGAUUCUAUCUCCGAUUUACGCUAGCAUGGUCUCGACACAUUCAAAGAUCAUAGCAAGUACAAGUCAAUCCCUAUUUGGCUCCGCUAUAGAACAACUUCCCUCCUCAGAGAAGCACAAGCCAAGUGUUUAGCAAAUAAGAAUUCUAAAUAUUCAGGCUGUCGCAUAAAGCAGAAAUGAGCAAAGUCCAACACUAGAUCAGCUGAAUCAGGAAAUCUUUUGCGAAUCUUAAUGAAAAAUCAAAUUUUGAGAAGGCAGAAAUGAUCAGCAAAGUCAAAUAUUCUUCCCGAAAAAUUGAUUGUAGCCGAAUCAGGAAUUCUUCUGAGAAUUCUGAAAAAUUAGCAGUUCCGGCUAGUUCUUACUCAAAUAGCACUCCAAUCAGCUAAAUUUAUUUUAAAAAAUCCAUCCGAAAAUGAACUGAAUCAUCUCAACAAGCAGUUCUCAAGUAAAUCAAACAAACAGCUACCCGAAUCAAAACAAAAAUUGGAUCAAAAUAAUUAAGCACCUAACGAAUCUAAAUUGUACCUCAUAAUCCCUAGGGUAUCCAGGGACUUCGAGGGCCUCGACGUCGAAGGAAUCGACCCUGGGUCCGGUGCGGAUCAGCCGCUGCUCGACGUUGUCCUCCUCCUCCUCCUCCUCGUCUUCCUCCUCCAAGCCGAAGCUCGUCGUCCGCACCUGCGACCCCUCGCCGUCCUCGGACCCGUCGUCCCGAUCCUGCGAGACCCACCGGAACUCCGAUGAGUCCGCCUUCGCCAAGCGCCCGUUCCCCCUCUCGAAGCCCUCCGCCAUGGCCAAUCGCCGAUCCGCAGCUCCGAUCGAUCAAGCUUCGAACGAGGCCCCUACGCCAUGGUGGAACUCGCGCGCGAGGGAUCGAGGAGAAGGGUUUUGAGGAGAAGGGAAAGAGGGGAUGCGAUGACGAUGAUGAUCUCUACCAACGGUCCGUUUGAAAGCCGUACGAACGAGGAGGCGUCGCCCACGCCCUCGCACUCUUCGGGAAAUAUUCCGUUAACGCUGCGGUCUAUCACGUUCGCACGCCACUGCGCUCGUAAGGAUCUGCUUGUUUGUUUGUUUGUUUGUGUGUUUGUUUUCCUGGUUAUUAAUUAAAGCCUAAUAAUUAAUUAAAGCCUAAUAAGGCUCUAUUUGUUUGUUUACUGGUAAUUAAUUAAGGCUACAUUAUUUUUUGAGAAAAAGGUAGCGCGCUACCCGCUUCAUUCAUUCAGUAAGUGAAUUAAGCUACAUGGGUGAGGCAGCAAGGCCUCGACGAAAGGCGGAAAAAAAAAAAAAGUACGGUCACUCUACUGGACUAAGUUUCCUCCACAGGUCUGUCAACUGCUUAAUCUUAUAAAUACCGACUGAUGGGUCGCUCUGUGUCGUUCCGAAGAUCGCUUUAUUCCUAGAUUCCCAAGAGACCCACCAGCAGGCUAUAAUUCCUAUAAGACCGGUUUGCGGUCGGAUGUGUUCUCGUUCUUCCUACCCAUCUAUCCCAGACUUGUGCACUUCCACACCUAGAUCUCCCAACUGGACAUCCUCCUGGGUCGUUACCAUAAGAAAUCUGGUAAUUAUGCACUGUGUGAAUAAGUGGUCGACCGUUUCCUCUUCCAAUCCGCAGAGCAUGCAUUUCGUGUUGCCGGUCCAUCCCCUCUUUACCAAAUUGUCAGCUGUAAGCAACCUCUUCUUAAGCAGAAGCCAACAAAACACUUUCACUUUUAGGGGUAGGCGUAGUGACCAAAUCCUACUCGUACGUACAUCCCUCGUGCCUCCGUCACGCAGAGCUGAAUAAGCUGACUUCACCGUAAAACGUCCAUCAGUGCUCCAACGCCAGUGUACACUGUCUUGUCCCUGAUUAAUAGGGGCAUUGGAAAUCCUGUUCAUAAGUGCUGUAAUGCCAGGGUACGCACUAGGAUUAACAGUGAUGUCACCACUCAGAAUCGUUUCCCAGCACCAACCAUUGCUACUCAAACCGUCACUGAUUUUCAGGUUUUUACGAGGAGAUAAAUUAAACAACUCGGGGAACGACGAACGUAGCGUUGUUUCCCCGCUCCAGCGGUCCUCCCAAAAGUCGAUAUUUCGUCCGUUACCCAACUUAUAAAAUGCUCCCCAUUUAUAAAUAUCUUUUAGCUUUAGUACUCCCUUCCACCAGUAGGAAGGUGGCCUGAACGAUCGUCCCUCCUUCAGCGGUCUUCUUUUACGAUAGAAUAAGUCGUGAAUUAGUUUAGUCCACUGUAACUGGGGGGCGGUCUGGAAUUUCCACCACCACUUAACAAGUAGGGCUUGAUUCAUCGUACUAAUGUCGCGGAUGCCUAGUCCACCCUCCUUCUUGUUCCGGCAAACACUCUGCCAUGAAACCAAACAUCUUAUUCCAGGUGUAGUUAUUUGUCCAGUCCAGAAGAAAUCUCUCCGUAUUGCCUCGAUGCGCUUGAUUACCCAAUUAGGAGUCGUGAAGACCGAGAGAUAGUAAAGGGGUAGAUUAGAGAGUACUGCGUUUACAAGGAUAAGUCUGCCCCCCCUCGAAAACAGCUUUCCUUGCCACCCGUCGAUUUUACUUUAGAUUCUACGGAUGAUGCCCCUCCAGUCCUCCUUGGAAGGGGGUUUGAUCGACAGAGGCAAGCAAGGUACUUGGUGGGUAGACUGCCGACUCUACAUCCGAGUAAGUGCGCCAUCCAGUUGGCCUUUCCCUGUGUCUGGUCGGUAUAGUAGAGUUCCGACUUCUCUCUAUUAAUUCUCAAUCCAGACGCCCAUUCAAAGAGUUGCCAAAUGAAUUUUAGGUUUCUCAAUCAUCUUUUCUUGGCCUUACAGAAAAAGAAGGUAUCGUCAGCAAAUUGAAUGAGGGUAGUUCUGGAUGUCUCUGUGGGGUCGAUGCCAGUAAUGAGAUUAUUACUAAUAGCCUCGUUAGUCAGUCUGGCAAGACAUUCCGCGACGAGUAUGAAAAGAUAAGGGGACAGCGGAUCCCCUUGUCGUACACCCCUCUUCGUCUUAAUCCAAUUAGUGGCAUUAUCGUUAAUCAGGACUGCAACCUUGGCGUUGUAGACACAUUGUUUUAUCCAGUUGCACCACUUUUCGUCGAAGCCCCACCAGUCUAGACAGCUAAAGAGGAAAAGCCAGUAAAUUCUAUCGUAAGCCUUUUCAAAGUCCACCUUUACCCCGACUGCCUCAGCUCCCAACCUAUUAGCCCAGCCUAACAGCUCACGAACGGUUACAAAAGCAUCAGUGAUGUUCCUCCCCUUCAGGAAAGCUGAUUGGGAGGGCGAUAUUAGAUCGCUCAAAACCUGUUCCAAUCGAUUGGCUAAAACUUUAGAUAUGAUCUUCUGGAUCCCGUUUAGGAGGCUAAUAGGCCUGAAUUCAUUUGCCCGUUUAGCACCUUCCUUCUUAGGAAUAAGACAGAUGUAUGUGUAAUCAAUGGGGCCGGUGGACAGACUCCCCUCAAACAUUUCAUGGAAAAGGUUCAAUAGGUCACCUUGCAGUGUGUCCCAGAAAGUUUGAUAGAAACUCAAUGAAAAGCCAUCUGGCCCUGGCGCCUUGUCUUUUCCCAAUUGGAAGACCGCCUGUUUAAUUUCACCUAUACUAAAAGGCCCCGAAAUAUGAGUCAGAGUGUCGGAGUUAACGCGCCUCGAUCUGAAGAGGCUACUCCAAUCCCCAAGCAAAUUUGGAGCCGAAUCUUCCGGCGUGAAAAGCUCCUGGAACUUCUGAAAUAAGUGAUGCUUCUUAUCCCCUUCCGAAAGGUAAACCUUUUCGCCAUCUUCCAACGUUUCGAUCCUAUUCGUUCGCUUUCUGCCAUUUGCUACUGCGUGAAAAAAUUUUGUAUUGCUGUCCCCUUCUUUUAACCAAUGUUGUUUCGCUCUGGUUCGCCACAUCGCUUCUUCAUCUUUAAGCACCCCUAUAAGUUUAGCCUUAAGCUCCUCCCUAUGUUUAACAGUUUUCGGGAAUAAAUCACCCCUCUCCUCUUCGUUAUCGAUCUCCUGGAUUUCAUUCAUUAUCUUAGACUUUUGUCCCUUAAUAUUAUAGAACUCAUUAGCGCACCACUCUUUAAUCCUUGUUCUACAGUGCCUCAGUUUUUCUGUGAACGUUAGUAAAGCUGAUUUUUUCUUAGCCCCCUCUUGCCACCAGCCAGGCAAUUUGGCUACAAAGUCGUCAUGUUGUAACCAAGCGGCUUCGAACCUAAAAACCUUCCUCAGUCUCAAAGUAGCUCUCUCGACCGAUAGGAGAAUGGGGCAAUGAUCUGAAAUCACUCUCGGAAGGCCGAUAACCCUCGAAAGAGGGAAAGUCUGUUCCCAUUCGGUCGAGACUAGAAAUCGGUCCAGUUUAGCGAGUGAUGGUUUCUACUGCAUAUUGGACCAGGUAAAAGAUUGAUUAGACAUGGGCAGAUCUAGUAAUUCCAAAUCCAUAAUAAGUUUGUUAAAUAAAUCGGUUGCUCGCGAGCUCCAAGUCUUCCCACGUCGCUCUUCUUGGCACCUUGUGCUAUUAAAAUCCCCACAUACUAUCCACUUCCUUUUACAACACCUUUCAGCUGCAGCAACUCCGAGUAGAAUUCCUCUUUUCUAUCCCAUGUGGGCGGCCCAUAAACAUUAGUCACAAAAAACCGUGUUCCGUUGCUUAGCAGGGUUAAAAGUGCCGUAAUGGAAUAACGUCUCACGAUCACUUCAUGACAGGCAAAAACUCUGGAGCUCCAACAGGUGAUUAAACCCCCAGAAGCCCCAUUGGCUUCGACAAAAACACGUUUGUCAAUAAAAGACCCUGCUAAACUAUGAAGGAAGGACCCUGAUACCUGACGUACUUUUGAUUCCUGGAGACAGACAACUACAUUACAAACUUUCGAAAUAACAUCCCUAACCGUAAAACGUUUAGAAGAGUCAUUAAGCCCUCUAACAUUCCAACUAACAACCCUAAACAUCAUAAAGAAGAGACACCACACUCCAAAAAGUCGUCACAAUGUGUUAACUCCCUCCACCAUAUAGCUCGCUUACGCACGGUUCUUCGUGGCUAUGGCGAAAUGGUUUGCCUCCACGUCAUCCAGGAUCACCCUGCAGCGACGACUCUUCCGAAUGAUCUUCCUCACCGUAGCCUCGGUCACGGAGUCAGAGCCACCCUCCCUCAGCAACGCCUUCCUGGAAGCUGCUUUGGAAAGGACAGUAGACUUCUCCCCACACGCAAGCCGUGCACUGGUUCGUGUUGGUGGGGUUCCAUGCUUCUUCCUCGGAAAUCCCGUAUAUCCAGUCGGCUUCGCUUGAGGUCCGACCCAAACCCCAUGCACACAGUCAACUCUAGCUAUGUCCCUCACCUCCUCUCCUUCAAAAGGCCUAGCCGGUUGAGCGUCAUUAUUUACGUCAAGACAGGGGAUCGCGCCUCCCACGUGUAGCAUCAGUGCACCAUUUUCCUCCCUAGUAUUCGACCUGAAACCUCCAUCCAUCGCUACCAUCAACGGCGAACAAUCGUCCACCGCUUUCCUAGAAGGGCCCACCGUACCAGGUAAAACUCUCUCUUCCUGCUUCCAGGCCCACAGCAGUGGCCCAAGAGAAAUCGCGUACAGGCCCCCACAAACCAUAACCUUGAGAAGCCCAUUUGUGUGUUUGGUUACCUUUCUAUAAGUUCGCCAAUUUAUCAUUUUAUAUUUUGUCAUCGUUUUAAACAGAUGGCAUCUCAAUUAUCUAUUUAAUUUACAACUCAAAAAAUAGAUAAAAAAAAUUUAGAUAAAAAAUAAUCUUCUAGUUCGUUAAUACUAUCAAAAUUGAACUAGGCUAUUAUACUAUUAAAAGCACCUAGUCAACGGUACUCUAGCACAUCUAGCUAGAGCGAAAUUCAUACCCGAUCAAACUCUAAUACAUAUAUUUAUAACUCAUGCAAAUCAAAUCCAAUGAAGCCUAGUGCAAUACUUUAGGGCUUAGUAAGAUCCUCACUCUAGCAUAUAUAAACAUAGUGGAAAAUAUAUUAUACUCGGUUAAUCCUGAUACAUACACUCAUGAAUUAACCACUCUCUAACUUUGGGUAAUAUCAAAUUCGACCUAUCUCAAUACAUAAACUUGGAGUUUGGUCAUAUCUCCACCUUUAAAUAUACAACUAAGGUGAAUAUGAUCGAACUCUAAAAUAUAUACGUAGAGACGAUUAGACUCUAAUGCAUAUUUGAGAAUUUGAAAUUGAAUUUUGAAUGAAAAAGGAUAUGUAAUGAGAUUAUUAGGAUAAAAGAUAUUUUCUAAUUGAAUAUUAAAUUUUAGGAUAUGGAUAUGGGCGGUCAUUGAUUGGACCCACUUAGAUGAAACUUGUUGGGCACAAAUAAUAAUAUUCGUUGGGCCGAAAUAAAGCCCAAAUUAUUGUAUAGACUUAAAAAUUCAACGGGCUUUCAUAAGGCCUACCAACUCGUAUUUAUAAAUGGGCCAAUUGAAUAUGUUUAAAUUAUUAUUAUUGGCUCCAAAAUUUUUUGAUCAACAUGAGACCUAUUAGAAUUGUAUGAGUUCGAAUUUAAUUAAUUUUGAUUAUGAUUAGAAUUACUUUAUCAUAUAUUUUAUAUAUAUAUAUAUAUUAUAAUUUUUUUUUACUUCAAACAAUAUGAUGCGAAAUAUCCAUGCAUAACCUUAUCGUCACUCUUUGCGUACUAGAUUAAGCAACCGCAAAGUAAAAGGAGAAAGUUCUUUCUAUCUUAAAGGCAAACAUAAAUAGGCACACCAGCUAUUAAUAUUGAUAGAGUACUUGACCUUGCUUAAGAGAGUACUCCAGUAGCUACUUAUAGCAUAUAGUCAACAACAAUCCGUAGUGAUCGCUAGGCGGUUCUGCAUCGUUCCCGAUUAUUUUGAUGUCUUUCAACGUGAAGUCCCUCAGUUUGCACACGAACCGAUCCAACCUUUUCUGCAGUAGUUUUCGACCUUUCAAUGAUUUGUUCGACUUGGUAUCGUACGUCCAUCCAUUGUUGUUAGGUUUCAGACGAGUCCAAGCAUCAACCCAUCGUUUAGGGAGAGGAAAUUGGCCAUCUCUAUGCUCAUCCCAGUUCAUGUCGCCGCCGAAAACAGCAUUUCGUGAGCAGUUGAGCAAUUUCACCGCUUCCUUCGCUUGAGUUUUACGUAUCUCGCAGUGCAUUCCAGGACGAUUGGGCCUUUUUAGGUGUCCAUUGGCGACGUAUAAUCUCCUGCCAAUGCCAACAUUCAGCUCGCAUCCAGGGAGUUUCCUCGCUAUCGAGCUUACGCAUCUUUUUGCUUUGAUAGGGAACUUGCUCAACUAACCAUUUAAAAAUGAAUCAACUGUUAAUCAAAAUGUAAAAACAAGCAGAUCUGAAAACUAAGGUCUCCGUAAGGUAUUGCUUUAAUUUUCCUACUCUUCUGGACUCACAUUCUAUAUGUAAAUUAAUUAUGUGCAUUUUGUUUGGAAAAUAAUCGACCGUCCCUAGAGCGAGUGGUAAGGGCUCGGUGGUUUGUACCUGAGAUCCCAAGUUCGAAUCCUAGUUGAUUCAUAUUUUCAGCAAAGUUUAUUUCUAUAUGAAAUAAACGAAACGGGUAGCGUGCUACCUUUCUCUCAAAAAAAAAAAAAAUUGUUUGGGAAUAAAACAGAUAAAAUUAAGUUUAGGAUCAGUUUUUCUUGGACUGGCACAUCAAAAUCUAACCAACAGUAAGAAAAAUUUAGAUGGUUAUUUACUUGCACUUUCAAUCACAUAGUAUUUGAUCUAGAGAAUGAAUUAAUGACAACGCUACCAAAUUAAAGGAACCUAAAUAGAAGCAAAGUACGUGGGAUGUAUUUAAUAUCAAAUAAUGUCUAAAUAAAUAGAUUAAUUACUAUAUUGAUCCGGAGGACAACAAAACGAAAAGAAGCAAUGUUCAUUAUCAAAGUUCAUUGAAAACUAUUUGAGUCUUAAAUGAUUGUAACUAACAAAUCGUACCAACCGUCCCUAGCGCAAGUGGCAAAAGGGCUUCGUGGUUGGUAUCCGAGACCCAAGUUUGAAUCCUACUUGAUUCACAUUUUCAGCUUAGUUUAUUUCUAAAUGAAGUAACGAAGCGGGUAACGUGCUACCUUUCUCUCUAAAAAAAAAAAAACAAAUCGUAGUUAAAAAAAAGGAAAAAAGAAUUAUACCACUAUGCAAAAAUCUCCUUCAAUAGCAUUCUCUGAUGAAUCUGAGCAAUUGUAGUCAUCCCACCAGCCAAAAGUUCGAAACAUUCGAUUAAUGUUAGGGGUAACUUCCUGCAAGGCAGAGCAUAAAUGCAUGUCCAAUUGAUUUUUUUUUUUUUUUUUUUUUUUCACCUCUAAGUCUAACUUCUAGUAUUAUCUACAAAAAUUGACAAAAUAUGACCAUAUUACAUAGAAACUCUUUAUUGUAAAUGAUCUUAUUAUGAACAAAUUUUAAUUUUAACACUAAUUUCUCCCUUGUGGAGAUAAUGAUUUAGUUUGAGUUAUCAAAAUGUUUUUGUUCUAAAUAGGGAACUGAGAUUAAAUCAACAAAAGAGACGUUGUAGAUAGAGAAAUACUAUUUGUAAAUCAAAACAUAGGGUGUAAAUUUUACAUCCAUCCAUCCAAAGAUUUAGACAAAGAUUGACAAGACUGGUAUGAGAAAAGUAACGCUUGAAUGAAGAGUGUAAAAAUUUUAGCUCACUUUUUAGAUAUGUAGAUUACAUAUAAAAAAAGAGAGAGAUUUGAGCCACAUAUAUAGGAGAAGGAUUUUUGCUCCGAUGCUUCAUCCUUGUCCGGCUCUUUCGGAAAGAGAAGAAAGAGACAACAAUGAGCUAACAUUUUGCAGAGAUAUAUGACCAUGAUAUUUGGAGCAAUGCUACACCUUCAACACAUUUUGGAUUGUAGAUUUUACAAUUGACCAAUCUGAGGACAAGUUUUCUCUCACUUGUCAUAUUAUUUUUUUAAUACUAAAAACUAUAGAGUCCGACCGGGUGCUUUUAAUAGUGCCAAACAAUUGGUGCUAUCAAAUUCUCUCUCUCUCUCUCUCUCUCUCUCUCUCUCUCUCUAUAUAUAUAUAUAUAUAUGUAUAUAUAUAUAUAUAAUUGAGUUGGAAUGCUCUCGAUAGCAAACGGACUCCGUUGUCACCCAUUUAUUUUUGAUGAUGGAGCUUUUAAAUUGACGAUCGACACCGUUGAACAUGAUCUAGACCACUUAAAGCAUCUUGAAAUCAAAUUUUAAAUUUUUUCGACAUCCUUGGCCUAAUGAUCAAAGGAUUUCAAAUUUUGUAAUUUUAAUGGUUGAUAUGAGAUAUUUUUUCGUUUAACGGUGUAAAGAUAUCAAAUCAAUUGAAUUUUUUGUUAGAAAAUUCUUUAAACUAUCUAAAACAAGAUCUAUACUCUUAAUCUUGAUUACAAGACUCUUAUCACUACUUUUUAAAAGAUAUUGAUUUUCAACUGUUUAUUUUUGUGUCAACUUGAUGGACAAUAAAAUAAUGUUGGAAAAGUAUGAAUUUGGUUUCUAAAUACUUCAAUUAGUCUAGAUCAUGUGCAGUUAAAGGUGCCGAUCGUCAAUUUGGAGGUUCCAUCAUCGAAAAUAAAUUGGUGGCAACGGAGUUUGUUUGCUACCGAUAGCAUUCCAGCUCAACUCUCUCUCCCUCUCUAUAUAUAGAGAGAGAGAGUCCAGCUACAAUGCUAUCAACAGCACCACGCACUUGGUGCUAUCAAGUUUUCUGUCGUUAGGUCUAACCCCUUGAACAUUUCCACCCUUAGAUCAUGUUAUUCAACCAACCACCCACUCAACCCUAGAGGGCCGCUAUCAUCCUAGCCAUACAUCACUACAUCCAAGUACCAAAAACCUAAUAGCACUAAUGACUUAGUACUAUUAAUAGUAUUCUAGCCUAGUUAUAUAUAUGUGUGUGAUAUAGCUAUAAUUCUUUUAGGAGGAUGGAGUCCUUCAUCCUAUCAAGUCGUUUUAGAUGAUAGAAAUUCUGAAGCGAUGAUCAAAACAGUUAAAGUUAUCUAGAGUAUUUAAAGCGUCUAAAUACCAUAUUUCAUAAAUUUUAAAAAUUAUUUACGUAGUGAUCAAAGGAUCACAAAAUCGAUCAUUUUUGAUGGCCUAUAUGAUCUGUUUGCUUAUUUCUAAUAAUGUAAAUCAAUUUCAACAGUGUCGUUCAGCAAUAUAGAAUCAUUAUCAUCCAAAAUGACUUAAUAGGACAAAAGCUUCUAUCCUCUUAAGAGGAUAAUAGUGGACUCUCUCUCUCCCUCUCUCUCUUCUUUUACUCUCUCUCUCUCUAUAUAGGGUUAAUUGAUAUAGCUCCCUACAAAUAUAGCAAAUUGUAAAUAUAUCCUUACAAAGUUCAACUUUCUUAUGUUAUUCCUGCAAAAGUCCUAAUAUUUUCAAGGGUUAAUUACAUAUAGGUCCCUACAAACAUAGUGAAUUGUAAAUAUAUUCCAACAAAGUUCAACUUUCAUAUGUUGUCAUUGCAAAAGUCCUAAUAUUUUCAAAUGUCCCUACUGGUAGAAUCCGUUAGAAAAAUUUAGUUAACUAUAAGUUAAAUACUUAACUCUGAUUAGUUUAUAAGAUAACUGGGCAUUUUUACCCCUCUUCUAUUAUAUUGUUGUGGUUUUUGGAGGGACAUAUUUGUAAUGGCAAAAUUGACAUUUUACUUAUUAGCUGUUAAAAUAUAAACGGUUCUCUAACGGUAACAAACCAGAAGGACAUAUUUAAAAAUAUUAAAACUUUGGCAGGGACAACAUAUGAAAGUUGAACUUUGUAGGGAUAUAUUUGCAAUUCACUAUGUUUGUAAGGACCUGUAUGCAUUUAACCUUAUUUUCAAAUAUGCCCAUGUUAUUAGGAUUCGUUAGAAGAAUUUAGUUAACCAUAGGCAAAUACUUAACCUUAGUUAGUCAAUAAUAUAAAUUUAUAUUUUUACCCCUCUUAUAUUAUACUUUCUUCACAUUAAAACUAUGAGACUCCAAAUAGUUCUAUAUAUAAGAUAUAAUAAAGCUAAAACUCUUAAUAUGGCUUAAGCAUUUUGGGUGGUGGCUAGUCCCAAGAAAUUAAGAUAGUUAAGCGUGCUAGGACGGGAGUAAUCCUAGGAUGGGUGACCUCCUGGGAAGUUGGGGCAUCACAGUUGGUAUCAGAACCAGUUACCAGUCGAAAGUGUGAAAUGAGUCUCGGCUGAGUUAGAAUUAUACAGCAGGGAGAGCAAGGCCCUCAUAUCAUUGACUGUUAUGGGUGGAAUGCAGCUCGCCACAAGGUUGGUUUAGGCUAGCGAGACGAGUCUCACAUCGCCUAGCUAGUACUUGUGAGUCUGAGCCUGACGAGGACGUCAGGGCUUAAGAGGGGGAGAAUGUGAGACCCCGGGUAGUCCGAUAUAUAAGACAUAAUAGGGCUAAAACUCUUAAACCGACUUAAGCAUUUUGGGUGAUGUCUUGGCCCAAGAGGUUAAGAAAGUUAAGCGUGCUAGGACGGAAAUAGUCCUACGAUGGGUGACUCCCUAGGAAGUUGGGGCUUCACAAAGAUCGUAGCAAUGAGAACUCUUCUUCUUCUUCCUCUUUCAUGCUAGUUUUGAACCCAUAACUAGAAUUUCUCCGUUCCCUUUCAUCCAUGACGCGUGUUGCUUCGCCCAUGUCGAAUGCAUUUUGCUUCUCUAUUCAAUUUCUUUUAUGAUUUUUUUUAUUUUGCUCAAAAGAAAAAAUUUAAGAGAAAAUGAGUGAGAGAAGAGGUUGCAACAAUGGUAGAUUGGGUUGGGUUUAAAGAGGAAGAAGAUGACCAUUACAAAAUUUUUGGGGGGAUAUUUUUGCACGAUUAUAGCAGUUGGGGCUUUUGGAGAGACAUAUUUGUGAUGACAAAAUUGACAUUUUACUUAUCUGCUAUUAAAAAAUAAAUAGUUCUCUAACAGCAACAAACUAGAGGGAUAAAUAUGAAUAUCACUAGACUUUUGUAGGGAUAAGAGUUAAAAGUUGAACUGUAGGAUAUAUUUGCUAUGCAAUUAACCAAUAUAUAUAUAUAUAUAUAUAUAUAUAUAUAGAGUUGAGCUAGAAUACUAUCGGUAGUAAACGGGCUCUGUUGCCACCCAUUUAUUUUAGAUGGUAGAGACUCCAAAUCGACGAUCGGUACCGUUGCAAAUGAUCUAUACCACUUGAAGCAUCUAGAAAUCAAUUUUAUACUUUUUUGUGAGACCCCAGAUAGUCCUAUAUAUGAGAUAUAAUAGGGCUAAAACUCUUAACCCGGCUUAAGCAUUUUGGGUGGUGGCAAGGUCCAAGAGGUUAAGAGAGUUAAGCGUGCUAGGAUGGGAGUAGUCCUAGGAUGGGUGAGAGGAUGUCGAUGUUGUCCAAAUCGACGUCGGAAUAAUUCCGGUGCGUUUGUCGGCAAAAUCCGCCGACGGAACGCGGUUUUGGUUCGGAAUUAUUCCGACGGUUCUUCGUGAGCUAUUGUGUAGUCGCUGAGCCUUGUUGGUUGGUCACUCGCGUCAUUUCAAGAGUUCAGAAAUGACGAGUGAGCGGCGAUGGGUUCCGGUGUGGAAAUAGACACUUCCGGGAACCCGGAUCCCAACAAUUAUCCACCAAUAGUUGUUUGGUUGUGUAUCCUUGUGUUUGCUGCCAUGUCAUACUAAAAUAAGUGUUUAGAGGCAGCGAAUGACUCGUGGCAUGAGUCGGUGCCUUCCCGGAUAGUUAGUGGGUCCCGGCGGAGUCCUGGUGCGAUUUUUGGGACUUCCGGCGAGUUACGGUAGUCGAUUUUGGGAAACUGAUCUCCGUGGGUUUGUUAGCGGGAUUACGAUGUAGUAUUUCUUAGUUGUGGGUUAAACACUAAUCCAGAGGACCUUCCUUAGGUCCUGUUGACGUUCUUUUGCAGUCAGGAGACAGGCGCGACAGUUGUACAGGUGGGUACUUCGAUCCGACGUUGGUACAGUGGUGCACGCUUGGUGAUGGUUUCUUAUCCUUGCUCUUUUGUUAUUAUCCAUGCUUAUAUUACAUGUUGAGCUUUGCACCUCUAUUGUUUACAUUACACCCACGUUGUUUGAUUAUACUCUACUCAGAUGUUUCCAUGCUUAGUAUCAUGUGUAGGAGUAUAGUCUAUCUGUAUGUGAUACCAUAUUUCCUUGUUGCUCUACUUAGCUAUUCUGCAUACCCUGUUUCAUAUUUAUAGUAGAGCGAUUCUGUGAUUAUCUGUGAGGUUAGCGAUCUAGUCGGUCGNGCCCAAGAGGUUAAGAGAGUUAAGCGUGCUAGGAUGGGAGUAGUCCUAGGAUGGGUGACCUCCUGGAAGCUGGGGCGUCACAUUUGGUAUCAGAGCCGGUUUACCAGCUGGACAUGUGUGGCGAGUCUCGGCUGAGCCAGGGUCUGGAUGACGGGCUAGCGAGACGAGUCUCACAUAGCCUGGUGAUCUUGGGCUGUGUGUGAUUGGACUGACGAGGACGUCAGGACCUUAACGGGGGGAGUCUGUGACACCCCAAUAGUCCCACAUCGGAUAGGAAUGGGGUUGUCAUUGGGUUUAUAAUAGACCUAGACACUAGUAAUAAUAACUGGGCUUAAGCAUUUUGGGCUGUUGACUAGGCCCAACGAGUUAUUAUUGCUAGUGGGCUGGGUCGUUACAUUUUUCGAUAUUGUUCUCUUGUUCAUCAAGUGGGCGUAAAAAUAAACAGUUGAAAAUGAAUAUCCUCUAAAAAGUACUGAUAGAAAUUUUGUAAUCAAAAUCGAGAGUAUAGAUUUUGUUCUAAAUAGUUUAAAGAAUUUUCUAACAAAAAUUCAAUUAAUUUGGAUAGCUUUACACCGUUAAAUGAGAAAACACCUUAUAUCGACCAUUAAAAUUACAAAUUUUGAAACCCUUUGAUCAUUAGGUCAAUGAUGUCGAAAAGAUUUGAAAUUUGAUUUCUAAAUAUUUCAAGUGAUGUAGAUCAUAUUCAAUAGUGUCGAUCGUCGAUUUGAAGGCUCCAUCAUCGAAAAUAAAUGGGUGGCAACGGAGCCUGUUUGCUACCGAUAGCAUUCCAGCUCAACUCUCUCUCUCUCUCUCUCUCUCUCUCUCUCUCUCUCUCUAUAUAUAUAUAUAUAUAUAUAUAUAGGGUAAAUUGCAUUGUUACCCCCUAAACUUUUGACGAAGUUUUACUUUACACCUCGAACUCCUAAAAUGGACAUCUAACACCCUAAACUGUAAUAUUUCAUUCAUGUUACCCCUUCUGUCAGUUUUCCGUCAAGCUCCGUUAACCAAAAACUGACGAAAAAAGUAAAACGAAUGAAAUAUUAGAGUUUAGGGUGUUAGAUGUCUAUUUUUGGAGUUUGGGGGGUUAAGUGAAACUUGCCAAAAGUUCGGGGGUAACAAUGCUAUUUACCCCAACUAUAAAUUAUUUUAUUAUAAUAUGUUAUUUAUGAAUUGAUUACUAAACCUCAAGUUAGUGAUCAUACUUGAUUUUGAAUUUAUAUAUAUUUUUUAUCCUAAAAUAAAUCAUACUAUAAUUUAUCAUACUUUAGAAGUAUUAUUCUAAAGUAUUAUAAAAUAUUAUUUUAUACUUUUAUAUUAAAAAUUUCUAAUUGGCUAAAAUGAAGUACAAAAAUUUUAUUUUAGGCUACAAUAUAAUUACAUUGCAUAAUUACAAAAAAUUAACUGAGAAUUAAAAUCUCUAUAUCCGAGUGAGAACACCUAUUGUAAAUCAAUCAUAUUAAUUAGCAAGAACAUCAAGACAGUAGAGUAUUCGAGCAUCGUAGGUAGUUAGUAUCGCACUUUUCUUAUCUUUAAGCAACUCUAAUUCAUUUCUUUCGCUUUUAUUUUCUUACAAUAAAAUGUAGGAUAAAUUAUGGUAUAAUUUAUUUUAGGAUAAAAUAUAUAUAUAUAAAUUCAAAAUCAAGUAUGAUCACUAACUUGAAGGUUAGUAGUCAAUCCAUAAGUAACAUAUUAUAAUAAAAUAAUUCAUAGUCAAGAGUCCCACGGGGUAAAUUGCACUGCUACCUCCUGAACUUUUGGCGAGUUUCACUUAACCCCCCAAACUCUUAAAAUAGACAUCUAACACUUUAAACUCUAAUAUUUCAUUCGUUUUACCCCUUUCGUCAGUUUCUGGUUAACGGAGCUUGAUGAAAAACUGACGGAAUGGGUAAUAUGAACGAAAUAUUAAAGUUUAGGGUGUUAGAUGUCCAUUUUAGGAGUUCGAGGGGUAAAGUGAAACUUUGCCAAAAGUUCAGGGGGUAACAAUGCAAUUUACCCUAUAUAUAUANUCGAUGGUAGAGCCUCCAAAUCGACGAUCGGUACCGUUGCAAAUGAUCUAUACCACUUGAAGUAUCUAGAAAUCAAUUUUAUACUUUUUCGAUAUUGUUCUCUUGUUUAUCAAGUGGGCGUAAAAAUGAACAGUUGAAAAUGAAUAUCCUCUAAAAAGUAAUGAUAGGAAUUUUGUAAUCAAAAUCGAGAGUAUAAAUUUUGUUCUAAAUAGUUUAAAGAAUUUUUUAACAAAAAUUCAAUUGAUUUGGAUAACUUUACACCGUUAAAUGAGAAAACACCUCAUAUCGACCAUUAAAAUUACAAAUUUUGAAACCCUUUGAUCAUUAGGUCAAUGAUGUCGAAAAGAUUUGAAAUUUGAUUUCUAGAUACUUCAAGUGAUGUAGAUCAUGUUCAAUGGUGUCGAUCGUCGAUUUGAAGGCUCCAUCAUCGAAAAUAAAUGGGUGGCAACGGAGCCCGUUUGCUACCGAUAGCAUUCCAGCUCAACUCUCUCUCUCUCUCUCUCUCUCUCUCUCUCUAUAUAUAUAUAUAUAUAUAUAGGAUAAAUUGCAUUGUUACCCCCUGAACUUUUGACGAAGUUUCACUUUACACCUCGAACUCCUAAAAUGGACAUCUAAUACCCUAAACUCUAAUAUUUCGUUCAUGUUACCCCUUCCGUUAGUUUUCCGUCAAGCUCCGUUAACCAAAAACUGACGGAAGAGGUAAAACGAAUGAAAUAUUAGAGUUUAAGAUGUUAGAUAUCUAUUUUUGGAGUUUGGGGGGUUAAGUGAAACUCGCCAAAAGUUCAGGAGGUAACAAUGCUAUUUACCCCAACUAUAAAUUAUUUUAUUAUAAUAUGUUAUUUAUGGAUUGACUACUAAACCUCAAGUUAGUGAUCAUACUUGAUUUUGAAUUUAUAUAUAUUUUUUAUCCUAAAAUAAAUCAUACUAUAAUUUAUCAUACUUUAGAAGUAUUAUUCUAAAGUAUUAUAAAAUAUUAUUUUAUAUUUUUAUAUUAAAAAUUUCUAAUUGGCUAAAAUGAAGUACAAAAAUUUUAUUUUAGGCUACAAUAUAAUUACAUUGCAUAAUUUCAUAGGAAAUAAGUGUAUUUUUUAGAAUAAUGCUUCUAAAGAUAAAAGGGGCAAACGAGUACUACAAAAAAUUAACUGAGAAUUAAAAUCUCUAUAUCCGAGUGAGAACACCUAUUGUAAAUCAANNNNNNNNNNNNNNNNNNNNNNNNNNNNNNNNNNNNNNNNNNNNNNNNNNNNNNNNNNNNNNNNNNNNNNNNNNNNNNNNNNNNNNNNAAGAAACUCGCGAUUGUUGCAUUAUGGUGCGUACAAUGGAAUCCGGUGAAUCGCCCGACCAUGUCGAGGACGGUGCAGAUGCUGAUGGGGAGUUUGCAGGACUUGGAAAUGCCCCCAAAACCAUUUGUCCCCUCAUUAGGAUAUGAUGCUAGCGAAGUUCCUAAUGAAGUGUAGGAGGAAAAAAUGAAGGCUUAUUGAAGGGAGUAUUACACAAUGGAUUGACAUAACGUGGAAAUCAAGAUAGAGUUAAAAGGUUCAUUGUAACAAACAUCUGCUAUAUUGUAUUAGAUAAACAUGUAGUGUGCCUUAUAUAUAUAACAAAAAGCUAAAUUACCACAUGGCCUUUUUCAUCAUUGAAAUCAAGACAUUUUUGUUGACAUAUUCUAUCUUUAGAAUUUCUUCUUUUUUUUUUGAGAAAAAGAUAGCAUGCUACCUGCUUCAUUCAAUAAGAAAAUAAAUUUAACUACAGAAAAUAGAGACAGGUAAGGCCUCAAUAAGAGCGAGAAAGAGACACACACACACACACUCAAAAAGAAAAGAAAAAGAACACCGGGAAGAGAGGAAAAAACUUUCUAGCAAAAAGCAACUAAACACCUCCCUGUAGUUAAGGUCAACCUUCGCCUUUCUUCUCCCAGUCCGUUAAAAGGUUUACGCUCUCCUGAAGAACACAAUAAAUAUUCCUUCUCUUUCCCUAAAAGAUAAUACAAUUCCUUUCUAGCCAUAUUACCCACCAUGAGGCUGUUAGCUUACAAAGUUGUUGCUUUCCUUUUCAAUUGUUUGACAUAUUCAUGAAUGUCUCCUAUAAAUCUCUUGCCGAAGUUGACAUUGGAGGGCAUUCUAAAUUAGAGAUAAUUCGAGACAGAAUAUUUUUGGUAUAAACACAGGUCGAAAAUAGGUGUUCGUUAGUUUUCACUUCGGCUUCACAUAAAACGCAUCGUUGGUCCCCAUCCUACCCCAUUUUCAAUAUAUUGUCAAUUGUAAAAAUUCUCUUUCUUAGGAGUAACCAAACAAAAAUCUUUAUUUUAACAGGAAUUUUUAGUUUCCAGAUCUGUGGAGUAAUACAAUCCCUGAUACUGCCGUCGAUUAAGAAUUUGUACAUCGAGCGAACAGAGAAAGUUUGGGUUUAAAACAAAUGGAUUGUGGGAUUAGGAUAAUACAAACCUACUUGGGUUUAGUGGUGGUUAGUAGAAUACCAUGAUCUAAAGGGUAGAAAUGGCCAAAAGGGUAUUAUCUAAUUGUGUAAACGUUGGUAGUACCAAAUGCUUGGUGCUAUUAGAAGCAUCUCAGCUAGUCUCUCUCUCUCUCUCUCUCUCUCUCUCUCUNAUUAGUGCUAUUAGGUUUUCGACCCUUGGAUAAAGGGAUGUGUGGUUAGGAUGAUAGUGAUUCCUUAGCUACCGUUUGGUUCGGGGUUAAUGAAAAACUAGUUAUUCCAAGAAUAGAGUUAAGUUUAGGGUUAAGGUGGUGUUAGAGUAUUUUUGUGUUUGGUUGGGGAUUGGAGUUAGUCCAGAAUAGUAAAAAAUAGUGUUUGGUUGGGGUAGGUUGAAUUAUUAUGAAUAGAAAAUAGUGUUUGGUUGGGGUUUGGUGAGGUUAGGUGGGGUUAGCUAACCCGGGAUAACCCAUUUGAGGUGGGGUUAGCUAACCCCACCCAUUUUUAGAAGUGUUUGGGGGAUAAAAUAGGGGUUAAGGGGUUAUUCCACCCCUUAACGCCCAACCAAACGGAGUCUUAGGGUUUAGUGGUUGGUUAGUGAAAUAGUAUAAUCUAAAGGGUGGAACUGGUCAAAAAGGUAGAUCUAACCACGUUUAGUAGCACCAAAUACUUGGUGCUAUUGAUAGCAUUGUAACCGGACUAUAUUUAUAUAUAGAAUUAGACUGGAAUGCUUUUAAUAGGACAAGUCAUUGGUGCUAUUAGGUUUUUGGCCCUUGGAUGAAGGGAUGUGUGGUUAGAAUGAUAGUGGUUCCCUAGGGUUGAGUGGAUGGUUGAUUGAAUAGUAUGAUCUAACAGAAGGAAAUAGACAAAGGGGGAAUCGAACAGUGGAAAACUUUGUAGCACCAAGUGCGUGGUGCUAUUAGAAGCACUAUAGUCAGACUCUCUCUCUAUUUAUAUAGUCCAUGUUGCAUACUAUUGAUAGUAUGGAGGCCUCCGUGCUACCGAGCUAUUUUCGAUGAUAGGACAUUCAAAUUGAUGAUAAGCUCCAUCAAACAUGAUCUAUGCUAAUAGAAGUAUUUAAAAACUAACUUUAUAUUUUAUCGACAUCAUUUAACGAGUGAUCGAAAAGUCUCAAAACUGAUAAUUUGAGCGACUGAUGUGAUACAUUUUUAAGUUGAAUAGUGUAGAAGAAUCUAAAUCCAGUGAAAUUUUGAUAGAAUUUUUUUCACUAUUUAGAGCAAGAUUAGUACAUCUAAUCUGAAAGUUAAAUAUUCUAUUAUUAUUUUGAUGAGUUUUUUAUUUUCAGCUAUUUAGUUUGAGACUAUUUGUUUCAAAGGUAAAUAAUGUUGAAUAAUCAUAAAAAUUGAUUUAUAAAUAUACUAAUAGUGUAGAUCAUGUCUAAGAGAGAUAAUUGUUGAUUCGAAUGUCCUAUCAUUGAAAACAACAUGGUAGCACAGAGCCCUCCGUGCUACCGAUAGUAUUCUAACUAUCUAUCUCUCUCUCUCUCUCUCUCUCUCUCUCUCUCUCUCUCUCUCUUUUUCUCUCUCUCUUAUAUAUAUAGAUAGAGAGAGAUAGAGAGGGAAUAGGGCGACUAUACUCUUCAGUAUACAAGCUUUCGUAUUUAUAAGUCGUUUUUGAUGAUGGAGUUUUCAAAUUGACUAUCUAUACUGUUAAAUAAGAUCUCAAUAUUUGAAGUAUCUAGAUAUCGAAUUUCGUAAUUUUUUGAAUUUAUAAUAAAGUGCAUUAAGUGGGUAUAAAAUGAACUAUCAAAAUCGAAAGAUCUCCUAAAAAUAAAGGAUAGGCUUUUUAAAUUCAAGAUCAAAGUUAUUGAUCUUGAUCUAUAUAGUGAAUAGAAUUUUCUAUUAAAAAUUCAAUCAACUUCAAUACUUCUAUAUCGUUAUAUAACUCAAAAAAGCUCAACACCAAUGGUUAAAAAUGUCAAUUUUGAGGUCAUUUGAUUGUAAAGUAUAUAUGUCAAAAAAUCAUGAAUCAGUUUCUAAAAUAUUUAAUGCUCUAGAUUAUAUUUGAGGAUAAGGAUCGUUGAUUCGGAAGCUCUAUUAUCAAAAACGACUUAUGAGUACGAAGGUGACCAUGUAUGUGUGUGUAGAUAUAUGUAUACGAUCCUUACAGUUAAACAUAAUUUAGAGUAUUUGAAACUUUUACAAAUAAAAUUUUAUAAUUUUUUGACAUCAUUUACCUUAUGAUCAAAAGAUCUCAAAAUUGAUAAUUUUUUACUGUCGAUAUGGAAUGCUUUUUUGUUUAACGGUGUAAAAGAAUCGAAAUUUUCAUAUUAUGUGGGUGGGAAAAAUCUUGCCUGUUCGGCGGGUCUGUUGCACGUGCCCGAGCGGGUCCAAUUGUUUAGACUCGAUACAUGACAGAUAAAAGUGGUAUAAGAGCCUAGAAAAAUAUUUCUAGGUAGUUUUAGUAAACUUUAAGUCUUAAGAUGACCAUCGAAACUUAGGGACGUGAGUGAGCGUGUACUUAGUCGAAAGUAAAUAAUUGGGUCUUGUAGUGUUUCCAAAUAUAAUGUCGGAGAUCGAUCAAAGAAAAUAUUUAUUUCAUUCUUUGGAUAAUCACAUUAGCAGCUGGCAACGUGAAUGAUAGAGGGUGUCCCCAAAAAACUUUCACUUAAUUAGGUCCAUUCCAUUCUCUUAUGUGACAUUAUAGGGUCUAAGUGAAAGAUUUGGAUUAAAUUAUUGUUGAUGUUGUGGUGUUGCAAGUCCCUGUCAAUAGGACCCAAUGCACCUAAGUGCUUACGGUCGAGUGAGGUGCGGGAACUGCGCGACCAAAUGGCCUUACUGAUUGGUGUGGUCGAGAGGCAAGUUGAGACCUCCCGACACUAGAAGGAGCAAAUCAAGAAGCUCCAUGACAUUAUAGCGCAAUGAGAGGGAGCUGUACAGGUGGCGCAAGAACCUACCCAUCGCCUCCUAGCGGAAUGCUACGGAGGACAUCAUCAUGGCAACUGUGCCCGUCUUGACACGACCCACAUCAUCGAGAGCGACGAGGAAGGUGCUCCUCAGGACGGAUUCUGACACCUUCGCCGUGGCACACAUGACUCAACAGGUGGAGUACGAGUGAACUCGAGAGAGCCUCGCUAACUUUCAAAUGUUUAACCUAUCGAUCUUCAACAGUAAGUGUAAGGAACCAUCGAUGGGCGAACCUUGGGUCGACACUGUGGAAAAGUUAUAUAGGACCUUUUUAUCCUGGACCACGAUAAAGUCCAUUUGGCCAUCUACUAUUUAGACAAGAUAGCCCAUCGAUGGUGGAAGACGAAGAAGAGGAAGCAUUCUGCUUUCCCAACCGCGUGAAACAACAGAUGGAGGAGAUUUCAAGACUCUCCGCUAGAGGAACCACAUGUGCAGGAGUAUGAAUAGGAGUUCUCCCGUAUUGUGAGUUGCAUCUAGUUCGUAGUGCGGGAUAAGCCUUAUAAGGCUUGGUGUUUCGAGCGGGUUCUCCAACUGAGGAUCUAUGCAAAGAUCCAACCCUCAACCUACAGAAUUUUUGCGCAAUUGUGGAUCGCCCAACUAGCAAAGAGAGGUGAGGUCGUGGUGUCCCAAGAGCGUGAGGCCCUUGAGAAAAGCAAGGAAAAGAAGAAGAUGCGAUUCUCGAGCGGUUCUAUUGGCUAAUCAAGCUCCAAGCGGUCUCCCAAGAACCCUUGCCUGCAGUCACAGUCUCAUGGGGCCUGUGCUUCUUGGUCCCUAAUCCGGUGCGCGAUAUGUGAGGAGCGCAAUAGUGCGAGCAGAGGGAGGGGAAAUGCUACAAACGUGGUUAGGUGGGCGGUCGACUGCUGUAGAGGGUGUGUCACCGACCUUGUCCAUAUCUUAAGUUCAAUCCAUUAUGAGGCAAGCUUCAGGGGCACUAUUUGUUGCUCUCUCGAGCACGUGUCUCUCUAUGUCUUGAUACAGAGGGGAUUCGACAGGCAGUGGGUAGGUAUUUGCCACUUAGGUAGAGGAUCAACUAGCAGCCGAGAAUAUCGUAGUAAGUACUGUUUUACUAAAUAAUGUAAGAUAUAGAUCAUUGUUCGACACGGGUGCAUCGCCUUCAUUCAUAAGCAGAGCAUUUGCUACUAUUCAUGGCAUUAACAUUGUAGAGGCCACAAAUACUAAGUAGGUUCAGGUUCUGGACCACACAUUUUACGUCAUCGACUAUUGCCUCGCCUCUUCGGUGCGGGUAGGCGACUGGAUUAUGCUAGUGAACUUCUUGGUAUUGAGACGGAUAGAAGGCUUUGAUAUUGUGUUAGAUGAACUGCCUCUCGAGGUAUUAUGCUAUUAUUGAUUGCGAGAGUCGAGUUAUCACCUUUCAAGAACUAGGACAGAAGGAGUUUAUCCACCGGGGUUGUAGGAGCCCACUUUUCACUAUAACGAUCUCCACAUCUCGAGCCAAGAAGUUGAUCAAUGGGUGAUACGUGGCUUACUUAAACCACAGUUGUGGAGGAUCGAGCAAAGUCUCUGGUACUUGAGGGCAUUCCUAUAUCCCGAGAUUUUUUGGAUGUGCUUCCAAAGGAGCUACCAGGAAUGUCACUGGAUCGGGAGAUUGAGUUCGUAGUAGAUUUGAUUUCCGAGAUAGUGCCGAUUCCAAGAUGCCUUAUCGUAUAGCACCGACAGAGUUGAGAAAGUUUAAGGCUUAAUUGCAAGAUUUGCUAGAAAAGGGCUUUAUCAAGCAUAGUGUAUUUUCGUGGGGAACCCUAAUGCUAUUUGUAAAGAAAAAGAAUAGGUCCUUGCGGCUGUGUGUGGAUAAUAAGGAACUCAACAAUGUUACAAUAAAAAACAAGUAACUACUACCGUGCAUUGAUAAUCUAUUCGAUUAACUUCAGAAGUCUUGAGUGUAUUCAAAAAUUGACCUUUAGUCAGGAUAUCAUAAACUAAAGAUUAAGCCGAAGGAUAUGCAUAAGGCGGCUUUUAGGACGUAUUACGGGCAUUAUGAAUUUACCAUAAUACUGUGUGGGCUCAUUAAUGCCCCGACGGUCUUUAUGGAUUUUAUGAAUUGCGUCUUCAAACCUUUCCUAGAUUGGUUUGUUGUGAUUUUUAUUGACGACAUGUUGGUUUACUCCCGAAGUGACAAUGAGCACGAAGAACAUUUUAGAGAGGUUUUGCAAGUUCUUCAAGGGCAAAAGCUAUUUGCAAAAUUAAAGAAGUGCGAAUUUUGGCUCCAAAAAUUGUAUUCAUGGAACAUGUAAUUUCUGAAGUUGGGAUCUCGUUGGACUAUAAGAGAGUGGAGAUAAUCAAGGAUUAGCCCUAGUUACAAAUAUUACCAACCUCCGAAGCUUUAUUGAAUUAGCAGACUACUAUAGGAAGUUUGUUGAGGGGUUUUCAAAAAUUACCAGUCUACUUAUGUGCAUUACACAUAAGGGAACCAAGUUUGUUUGGAGUGACGAGUGCAACCAAAGCUUACAAUUGUUGAAAAAUAAAUUGACAUCAGCUCCAAUUCUUGCCUUACCCACGACAAAAAUGGGAUUCAUGGUGUACAGUGAUGCAUCCCAAAAUGGUCUUAUGUAUGUCUUAAUGUAGGAGUAGGUGAUAGUUUAUGCCUCCCCAUAAGUAAAGAACUAUGAAAAGAAUUACUCUACCCAUGACCUAGGGUUGGUCGUGGUGAUCUUCGCCUUGAAGUUAUGGCGACAUUACUUUUAUGGCAAGAUUAUGAGAUUUAUACGGACCAUAAAAAUCUCAAGUACUUAUUCAUUCAAAAGAAAUUAAAUCUAAAGUAGUAUCGGUGGUUGGAACUACUAAAGGAGUGUCACCAUUUUGUAUCAGCUGGGAAGGCAAAUAUAGUGGCAGACACUUUAAGUUGGAAGUCCAUAGAGAACCUCGCAAUGUUGAUCACUAGCCAUGCUCUACUAUAAGAGCACAUGCGAUGGUUUGAUUUGGAGGUUGUUGCAUCUGAAGGGAAGGUAUUUUUGUAGAAGUCGGGGACUAUUGGGCAUUUCGACACCAAAGUAUAGAAAUGUCGAUGAAUUGGAAACAGGGCUAGUUGUCUCACCCUUUUUCUUUCUUCCUCUACACCAGUGCCAUAGUCCUCUUUCGCAAACAUUGACCAACCAUACAGCCAACAACACCGUCAGUUAUCGUACCCUACCAACUCUCCAGCUAGCCUAAAGUACGCAAGGAUCUCAUCCUUGGGUUGAUCUCUGCCAAAAGAAUCCACCUUUUUUCCUCUCUACUUGGUUGCUUUAGAUCUGAUGCACCUUGGCCGCAUUUUCUCCUUGUCACUACCUUUUCUGGUGAUCCCCAGCUAGAGAAGUAGCUCAAACUGGCUCCAGCAACUCGUAGCUCCAAAUUGGACCACUAAAGGCUCGCGCAUGCCAAAUCCUUUAUUUGACUUUUUCCUUAGGCCGAGAACUAUCAUCAUUGACUUUCUCUUGACCCAUCCUUAUAACUUGAUGAAUGGAGUAGCAACCACUGACCGGAUCUAGUCAAAAUCAUCGCUGCUGCUCUCUACCAGACCACAAGCUCUCUCUGGUCGACACUUUUGAUUCCGAUGUCGCCCUGGCCAUUUUCUAUUGAGCAUGACACUCCCCAGCACCCCCAUAGGACCGUGCUCACUUUAGGCACGAUCAGAAACGAUUGUUAGAGUCAAACUAGCAUGAUGCUUCGAAGAAAGUUAUUGCUGUUGCUUAGGUCCGAGCUCCCUUAUUGCUGUCAGCGAUGGAGACAUAACAUAGAGAGUACACAAAUUGACAUCAUGAUGACAUAUUAGACACAUAGUAGUAGUAGUGUGCUUAAUGUCGUGCGCGGCCGUUGGUGUUGGCCAUUAUCAUGAUACAAUAUACUCUAGCUGCUACUGUCACUUGAUCAUAGAGUGUAAUGACUUGCCAAAGAUCUUAUACUGUCCCAUCGCUACUAGGAUGGUUUGAUCAACUUCAUGGUAGGGUGAGCUCUUCCGAAAAAGUCAUCAUGAUUCAAUCAAAGGCCUAGGAAUGAGUAACUAGUGCCACUAAGUAUGAGCUGGCCAUGAUUGAAUAGGGUAUUCGACAAUGACUCAUAACUAAAUAGUUAAAGCCAGAGGCCUGAGACUGAAUGGUCAGGAUAAGGGAUAGGUCAAGAUUGAGGAAUUGAUAGUUCUACUGAUGCAUAACUAUGCUUCAUUACAUUCAUGUUGCUACACCUCACUUUGGCAUAGAUUGUAUAGUUAGCUGUUACUAGCCGCGUACAUUUUUAUUUCAGCUCCCAAUAUUGUUGUAGUUCAGUGAACCGGUUACUGCAACUCACUCCAAUCAGCUUGCUAUACCAAUUGAAAAACUGUUUAGUUUCUCACUCCUCAUUGUGGAUUGUUUUUUAGGUAAGUUGAGCAAGGUGGAAUGAGAUGCAAUAUUUGAGCAAGAUGGAAUGAGAUGCAAUAUGAGGAUGUACUAGAUAGCUUUGCAGCCAUUAGAUACAUGUUGUGGAGAUUUUGUAAAAAAAAAUCUUGUAACUUUUUUAUUUUGAAUUUUUAUUUAGGAAGAGAAAAAUGUAAUUGAACUCAUAUUUAUUUCAAUGGAUUGUAAUGAAACCUCAUUUUUCUUAAACACCCAACUAUUUUUAGAAAAAUGUCAGAACUCCUGGAUUUGUGUUAUUCUUCUUAGAUGUUUUGUACUUUGAUGUCGUGCAUAUAUAGAGAAAACACUGUCUGUGUGAUAGGCCUAUUCGUAUACCUCGUUAAGCUUUCACGUUAGGGCAUGACAUUGAUAUCAUUUACCUAGUGAUUGAGAUGGUUCAAAAUCAACAAUAGUACUUGUUGAUGUGAGUCAUUUGUAAGUUUAAUGUUGUAGAAAUUUUAAAAUCAAGUGAAAUUUUAAUUUUUUUUUAUAUUAUAUAUAACAAGAUCAAUAUCUCUGAUCUAUCGUUUUAAUGCUAAUCACUUUUUGUGAGAUUUUUAUUUUCAGCUUUUAAUUUUACCCCCUCUCAAUAAUUAAAUAUAUGAUAUAAAAAAUUCACAAAAUUUAUUUUUAGAUAAUUUAAACACUCUAAAUCAAGUCUAACAGCGCAGAUCCAUGAUUUUAAAUUUUCAGCAUCAAAAAUAGUUUGGAAGCACUGAGGCCUCACUACUAAAAGCACUCCAACUCAUAUAUAAAUAUUUAAGUUGGCUGCUUUCAACUUUGGAGCCCUUAGUGAUCCCAAAAAAGUUAGAAGUAGCAUAGGUCCAAAGCUUCAAAAAGCACAAGGCUUUGGUGCUUAUAAUUUUUUAGCCCUUGGAUAUUCCCUUUUGGCUAAUAGAUCAAAAGUCAACAAUGGUGGUUAUUUAUGGAGCCCACUAUUUGUGCAUGAUCCAAAAGUUGCUAGGGUUAAUCCAAUAGCCAAAGGAACUAUAGCACUAACAUCUUGGUAUUUCUAGAAGCACCCAAAGCGGACUCUCUCUCUCUUAUAGGUAUGUGUGGGUAGCUACUUUUAGGGGCUGUUUUGUCUAGAUUAUGAAAAUUGAUUUUAAAUCCAAAAGUGAUUUUUUCUUUAGCAAAGCAUUUGGUAACCUAUUUUUCAAAAUUUGAUUCUCAUUCUUAGAAUUAAUUUUCUGAUUUUAGAGGCCCAAAAUUAGAAUAAACUAAAACCUGCUUCUUAAAAUCUAACUCUAAUUUUGAACUUAAGAUUUUAAAUUUAAAAUAUCAAAUUUAAAGUUUUGAAUUUUAAAUUUUAAAUUUCAUUUAUAUAUUUAAAAUUUUAAAUUUUAAAAUUUAAAAUUUAAAUUUUAAAACAUAAAUUUCAAAUUUUAAAUUUCAAAAUUUUGAAUUUCAUAUUUCAAGUUUAAGGUAAAUUUUGAAUUAUGAAAUUUAAAAUAUAAAAGUUUAAUUUUUAUUUUAAAUUUUAAAUUUUAAAUUCUUCUUAUGAUUUUAAAUAUAAAACUUUUAUAUUUUAAAGUCAAAUUGAAAUUUGGAAUUCAACUUGUAGUGUCCCUAGUGUUCGGUUGCCCGUGUGAAUUCAACAUCUGAGACUUGCCGACAUAUCUGGAGAGUGUCGGGACAAGUCGGAGUCGUUUUGGGCGAAAUAAACGCAAAACGAACUCAACACGAGGCGAGAGUGGAGUUCUGACACUGAAAUCUGUAAAGAGCAAGAGUUCAGUGUUGAGUACCAGUACCAGGGAGAGGAGUACCGGUACCCCAGUGGAAUUAAAGAACAGUAUGCUCUCGGGUUGCGCCAAUCUGAUGCUGAGUACCAAUAUCGAGCUCGGGUACCAGUACUGCAUUGGGCUGGUACCGGUACCCUGUGUGCGAGCUUGCGGGUUGAGAGGCCGAGUACCGGUAACCAAAUUGGGUACCGGUACUCCAGCUGGAUUUUUGAAUUGGUUAGGGGCCUUUUGGUCAUUUGAUGUGUCGAUCAACCCAAUGUUACUCCCAACCUAUUUAUUCACAGAGAGAGAGUCUAAGCCGAUUCUUCUUCUUCUUUCCCUCUGUCUCUCUAGCUGGUGGACUCGUAUGUUGUAAAGGUUGCGGCUCGAGCUCGGGAGGUUGUCAACUCGAUUCGGAGGGUCGUUCGAGCGCGCGGGCAUCGCGGUUGCAUCAUUGGGAGGCCGGGCGAGCGCGUGGAUUCCCUUCUUUUGACUUAUCACCGUUGUUGGACGAGCUUUUCAAUGUGGGCUGAAGUUUAUCGAAAUCGCCGGAUUUUCUUCUAAGUCCUAUCAACGUCAACAUAUGUUUAUUGGUUAUUGGUUUAUCCUACUAGUACUCGAAUUCAUGGAAAUUAUAGAUUAGGCUAUAAAAUCUGAAUUUGUAGUUAAGCUAGUAAUUUUAUUUUACACUUGUUGAACUUGGAAUUGACUUAGGAGAAACAUAUUAGAUCCUACACUGUCACUUUCUGAAAGUUACCGGAUUUAGCUUUAGGAGCUGAUAUUAGUUUGUAUCACUGCUGUUUGUGCACGGGGAUACCCAGAUUAGUGAAGGAUGAGUUUACGCUCGUGCUGGGAUGCCGAGAUUAUUUUACAGUUUUAUGUACACAGUUUUGGACUGUCGGGUGUCGUCGCGGCUGGCGGUGGACCCAGAUUUCUGUAUUUUGUCUCAGAUUGUUCCAAGGGCACGUGAGCUUUGGUUGUUAGACCAGUUAGACCCAUUUGCAUUGAUUACAGUCUGUGAGAGCUUGAUUGAGCUCGGCAGAGACACGCUUGCAUACUCGGUUGGGUCACGCCCACGAGUGCCGCUUCGGAGUUUGCCUUUUUGCUUUGCGUUGAUGUUGUUGUUGUCCGAUUUGGACUUGCUCUCCACCGGCAGCCCUCGGGGUGGUGUUCGAUGUAGUUUCGACAGGUGGAACGGGUGUAUUCACAGUCUCUAGUGAGAUUGGGUCAGAGCUUGCCUUAUUCUACAGAUAGUUAGUGUUGGAUCAUGAUAGCAUAGUGCAUAUAGUUGUAGAUUGUUUCCAGUUCUUUACUAUCAUUGAGCAUAUCAUCUGUAGACUUAGUGGGUGAGCCGUGGAGGUCGAUAGCGGUACCCACUGAGGACUACUUCUUUUUGCAGUAGUUCUCACGCCCAGUUUUGGAUCUUUUGCGGACCUUCGGUUGCGGCUGCUGCUAUUACUGAUUCUGAUCGUGGAAAGGGUGUUACGAGUUAGAGCCCUUCCUUAUGAGUUGCUGAGUUAGAGGAGUACCAGCUACAGGUAGUUGUAGUUUUUGGUUAUUUACAUAGUUAUGCUAGUUCCUCACUGGAGCGAGUGUUUUUGUACUAGGAUAUUAUGUAUGUACUGAACCGAUGUUAUUUAUAUAUGCUUUUCCUUUUAGCAGCUCUAUACUACUAGUGUAGUAUUGUAUGUUUACAAGUACAACUAUCGCUUCGUAUACAGGAGAAUUUUCUUUGUAUACGGCGAGUCUGUUCGCGUGUCCGGAGAAAUGAGUAAUCCGGGGCGUGACACAACUUCUAAAAAUUUAGCAAAAAAAUUAUUAUUUGCAAAUAGUAAAUUUUUUUUGCCAAACAGCUUAUAAAAUUAUUUUAGAAAAUUAAUUUUUAUGCUAGGCUCAGCCAAAUGGUCUAUAGCUUUUAACCAAAAUAAUUAUACAAAUAAAUAUCAAUUCUACAUAAACUAUUUUUUCAGAAUUAAGGCCAAACAACCCCUUAAUCCACACUAUUACCACCACUAAUUCCUACUUCCUAGUAAUCCAAGCGUCCAAAAAUUAAAAUUAGCAUACUUUCAAAAACAUUUCAACUCACUUCUAUAUAAGAGUGAGGUAGAAUGCUUCUCGAAGUAGCUACUUCCAUCUUUUGAGCCGUUGGAUCUGUACUGUUAACAUCACUAAUGCCUAAACCCUCCUUAUCCAAGGGCCCUAUAUAUUGGAAAUUGAUUUUUCCUGGUUUCACUUUUGAGGAUUAAUUUCAAUUGUGCCACUCAAAAGUAGACCUAUCUGUGCAUGUACCUUCUAAAAAUUUGAAACUCAGCUAUACACUUGUGAAGGAUAUAUAUAUUGCUUCCAUAAUGCCUUUCCGAAGGACCAAUUAGGAAAGGAAAAUGGUAUUUGUGCACAUUAUUAUAGGGAGUAUAUGUUAUAAUCCUUCGAUUUCAGGGUUUGGAAAAUUUCAAAAACUUCUUACUAUUUAAAAAUAUGUAAUAUGACAAAUAAGAACAUAUACACUAUAUAAGACUAGAGUGUAAAGUUCACACACUAACCUAGGGUGUAUAGAUAGUAUUGCUCUUUCAAGAAAAAAAUUACUUGUACGUCUGCAAAAGGGAUGUAUAGUGUACACUUCAUUCAUGUAAGAUAGAAUGAUUUUUACUAGUAACAUCAAUAUGACUAAUGAAAAACUCUCCACCCUAAGAUGAGUGUAUUUUUAGCAUUGCUCAAAUUUCAUAUGGAAAAGUUCUACAUACCUGAAAGAAAAUUACAUCCGGGGAAUGCUUUUCUACAAGACUGCCAAUUUUUUUUAUCCUUUCUUGCAAAUUCUUCCCUUCUUGUUUCCAAACAUUAUAAGUCAUGAAUGUUAUGAUUCUUGGAGCACUCUUCUGGUAAUUUUUCACUGCCAAAAUAAAACUCAAUUAUAUCAUUCUAAAAUAAUAACGACAAAAAUGUAUGGAAAUGAUCUGGACUAUGAUCCAUUUUAGUCCAACUAUCUAAUCUUUAGAAAAUUUAAUUUUGUUAAGUAAUUCUUUAAUUUAUUUAAUUUGAAUCAUUUAAUAAUUCUUACACUUUAAAAUUUGAAUGUAUUAUUCUUUUUUUAAAAGUUUUCGUUCUAAAUAGUUAAGAGGAUAUUUUUAAGAUUUCAAUUGAUUUGAAUUAUUUUACACUAUUAAGGCCUUGCUUGGAUGCGGUACUAUAAAAUAGAGUAUGAUGAGUUCAGGUUUUUUUUUUUAAAAAAAUAAUAAAAAAUAAAGCACACUAAAAAUUAAAAUAUAGUACUUAAAAUCUAAUCAACCAAACCUGAAAAAAAAAAUCCUCUAUUUUCUAUGCCAUCCCCUUCUUUUUCUAUGCCACCCCCUUCUUUUUCUAUGCCAUCCCACUCCGUCAUGCCGCUAUCUCGACUGCUGCCGCCGACUCCUCCUCCUAUGCCAUCCUCUUCUGUUGUGUCGCCAAUAUCGUCACCUCCGCUGCCCCUACUGUAUCCCCCACCUAUGCCACGCCCCUCGCCACCUGCUCAAAUUGAACUAAUUAAUUUUAUUAUUGAACAAUAUUUAUUAAUUUUUUUAUUAAUUUGUGUCCUUAUUAAUUUUGUUUAUUUUAAUUUCUGCUUGUUACUUUUUAUUGAUAAUAUAAUAGAGUAUAUAUAUCAUUUAAAUUUUGAUUAGUAUUUUGACCUCUAUUUAUUAAUUUUUAAUUAGUACUUAUUACUAAUUAAAUUGAGUGUAUUUUUAAUUCACUUCGAUUUUGAUUUAUAUUUGUUAAUUUUAAUUACUAUUUUGAUUAGUAAUAUUUUGAUUACAAAUAAAAUAGAGUUUAAGUAUAGUUCAAUUUGAUUUAGUUUACUUUAUAAUUUUGGUCUCUGUUUAUUUGAAAAUUUUAUAUUUUCAAUAAUAAUUUUAUCAAAUUUGACAAAAAUAUUGUGGAAUUCUGCAAAUAAAAUAGCAUAUGAAUUUUUAUAGGAUUUCAUGAAAUUACUGAAUUCAAUAAACUCUAUAGCAUUUUUUAGCUCAUUUUUUAGCUAUGUAUGGAAACAGGGCCAACAAAAAAAAAAAAAACAUCCUAUAUAGACUGCUUAAUUAUUAUUUUUAACCCAUUUAAAUAUUAAAUAAAUGAUGUUAAGAAAUUAUGUUUUAGAUUAUAUUUAAUUAUAUUAAUCGUCAAAAAAAAAAAAAAAAAAUCUAAUUUAUACAAAUUUGUAAGAAAAUCAUAAAAAAUUUCAAUCUUAAUUUUUAUAAAGAUAAUUUUAAAUAAAAUUAGAUAAGAUUAUAUAUUAAAUAUCACUAUAUGAGUCCUUACCCAAAUCUCUCUCAUGUUUCUUUUUUUCUUUUUUUUUUUUGCUUUUUUAGUUAUAAAAAAAUACUAAUUGUCUUAAAUAAAAUUAUCACGUGUCAAUAACUCAGCUAGCUAUUUGGCAAAAUUAUCUUCUAUUCUUUAAAUAUAUUUAUAUAAAAAGUAUGCUUAUAGGUUCUCCUACACAAUUUAAAAUUUUAAAUUAAUUUAAAUUUAAAGAUAAAAUAAAUAAAAGAAAAUUUUGCUUAUUUAUUCCUGAUUACUAUUAAAAUUUUUAAAUUUAUUCUAAAAUUACCAAAAAUAUUCGUCUAAACUCCAAAUCAGUAAACUAGGAUAUAUUUGGAAUAUUUGAAGAAAUUUUUAAAAAUCAAUAAGGAUAUUAUGUUCAAUCAGGUAUAUUUUCAUAUAAUUUUUACUAAUUUUCAAUCAAAUUAGGUUAUUAUAAUUAUAAAAAAUUAAAUAAUUAAUCCAAAUUCACGGAUAGCAUUUUUUAUUUUUGAAAUAUAUUAUUAUUAUUUUUUAAUGCAAAGCGUAUUACACGGUGCCUGGGUAUCCACCGUAAGUUUUUCCUCGUUUGAACCUCGCCAUUAACGUUAAGGCUAUGCCAUCCUAAGGUGCUGCUAAAUGGAAGGAUCUUAUCAACGUCCAUGAAUGAGAAAUCAUAGAUCGAACUGCCGAAUUGGAAAAAUUCGGUGCUGUCAUGAAAUAUUACCAAGCUGAUAGAAACGAUCCUCAGCAACAGUCAAAGCUGCUAUGUCUUUUCGUCCACCACCAAAUAUUUCUUCCACUCCUAUCGUGCCGGCCGUGCCGAGCAUGUCACGGCGGUGGCGAUCAUCCUCGAUCGGAUGCUCCGAUCUCAGAGAAUUUGCGGAGCUGCAGGCGCCGCACACCAUCAGGACAGCCCUGGCCACCGCCGUGCCGACCUUCACGGCCGCUCUGACAGCCACCGACGACGAAGCCGCAUCGUUUUCUUCUUCGGAUUUACUGCUCCGAGCGACACCACGCCGGCCGUCGGCUCCGGCCGGGAGCUGGGAAGAGCUCGCAGAAUUGCCCAUCUCUCUCUCUCUCUCUCUCUCUCUCUCUCUUCUCACCUGGAUAUAUAUAGCUCUGGCUUUUAUUUUUUCUCUUUGAGAAAAGCUCCGCAAUUAAGCAACAAGAGAACUGAACUAUAUACACACAGGCGUACUACUUGAGCACGAAGCAAUAGUCAAAGCUAGCUUAAUUUGGUUCUUAUUCUUCGCUUUUGAGAAAAGCUUCCCAAGAGAACUUAACCAUAUAAACAUGGGGGUGUAUACUUAAGCAUGAAGCAAGAGUAUACCAUUUUACACUACAAGAAUUAGUGAUUUUAUAAACCAUGUUUUAAUGAUGGGAGUCAAAUUUGGUUGUUAAAAACGUACAAAUAAGUGGUUCGCGCGCGUUGAGAUAAAUUAACUGAAUUUUUAACGAUCAUUAUAAUUUUGACCUGUCUUAUGUGAGGUUGAUCCCUUCGUUAUUGGUACAGAUUUAGCGCUUUUUUUUUUUGGUUUACCGCGCUGAAUUUUUUGGCCACCCACACACACACACGCAAACUCCUUUAUGUUGAUUAACAGAGUAACCCACUCCUCCUUUUCUCUCUCUUUCUCUCUCUCUUCCAAACCUUUGUGCCUCUUCAUCUUCCUCAUUCUCUCCCUUUCCCAACUCCGCAGGCAAUCCCCACCCUACAGGAAACCGCAACCUACAGGAACCCAGCGCAGGCACGCUCUACUCGUGGAGGAUUUAUCCGCUUCUACUGUCAAGCAGCACCUCAGCCCCACUACCCCGCGAUGCUCCUCUAACCCCGCAUCCUCCCCCGCUUCUUCUUCUUCUUCUCCGCCCUCCCCUCCCCAUCUCCCUCCUCCCUCUUCUUCCUCCUUCCCCCUACCAAACCCCGCCUCUUCUCCCUCCUCACCACCAAAUCCCACGUCGCUCUCUCCUCCCCCUCUCUCGAAACCCUAGAUUCCACCCCCGCGCCGCUCGAGGACGAUCCCUUACCGAUCCGGAUCCCCUUCGACAAGCUCUUCAUUCCCCCGGAGGUCGACCUUCCCCUCGGCGGCGCCGCCGCCCCCGCCUCCGCCGCGGCUGCUGCGAGCGGGAGGGUGCUCAAGGGGUCCAACAUCGUGCUCGGCCCCUACGCUAAGGAUGCUCAGGUUGUCACACUCAUUGUGCCAACAUCUUGCAAUUGACUCCUAUUGUGACUCGGAUUGGGCUGGUUGCCCAAUCCGCGGCGCUCCGUCACCGGAUAUUUGUCAUGCUUAGUGGUUGUCCUAUCUCGUGGAGACCAAGAAGAGACCGUUGUGUCUAGGUCAUCAGCAGAAGCGGAGUACAUGUCUAUGGCAGCUGCACCAGUGAACUAUUAUGGUUGCGUAGCCUUUUGCAGUCUCUCGGAAUCGAUUAUUGCUCAGCCUAUGCAGCUCUUUUGUUGAUAAUACAGGCCGCACUCCAUAUCGCCGAUAAUCCCGUCUUUCAUGAGAGUAACGAGCCACAUCGAACUGGAUUGUCUAUUCAUACGAGAUCCCUAAAACUCUGGCGACAUCGUCACAGUUACGUACCAACAAACUCCAGUUGGCUGAUGUCUUUUACAAAGGCCCUUGGACGGACGGUUCCGAUUCUUACUCGGUAAGUUGGCGUGAUUGACAUCCACGCGCCAAACUUGAGGGGGAGUAUUAGAGAUUUGGAAUAGGAGAAAUAAGAAUGUUAGGUGUAGUUUGAGGAAUCUUAGAUUUGUACUUUAUUUUGCUCCUUGUACAUAUCGGAUAUAUAUAUAUAUUGUUACUUAAUCAUAAAUAAAUAGAAAUAUAGAGAAAGAUAGCCAUUUUAUCAAUUUCAUAUAUUCUUUUAAAAGUAAAUAUUAAUUAAAAAUAUGAAUUAAUUAUAAUUUGAAUUUGUGAUAUAUUCUCUCCCCNNNNNNNNNNNNNNNNNNNNNNNNNNNNNNNNNNNNNNNNNNNNNNNNNNNNNNNNNNNNNNNNNNNNNNNNNNNNNNNNNNNNNNNNNNNNNNNNNNNNNNNNNNNNNNNNNNNNNNNNNNNNNNNNNNNNNNNNNNNNNNNNNNNNNNNNNNNNNNNNNNNNNNNNNNNNNNNNNNNNNNNNNNNNNNNNNNNNNNNNNNNNNNNNNNNNNNNNNNNNNNNNNNNNNNNNNNNNNNNNNNNNNNNNNNNNNNNNNNNNNNNNNNNNNNNNNNNNNNNNNNNNNNNNNNNNNNNNNNNNNNNNNNNNNNNNNNNNNNNNNNNNNNNNNNNNNNNNNNNNNNNNNNNNNNNNNNNNNNNNNNNNNNNNNNNNNNNNNNNNNNNNNNNNNNNNNNNNNNNNNNNNNNNNNNNNNNNNNNNNNNNNNNNNNNNNNNNNNNNNNNNNNNNNNNNNNNNNNNNNNNNNNNNNNNNNNNNNNNNNNNNNNNNNNNNNNNNNNNNNNNNNNNNNNNNNNNNNNNNNNNNNNNNNNNNNNNNNNNNNNNNNNNNNNNNNNNNNNNNNNNNNNNNNNNNNNNNNNNNNNNNNNNNNNNNNNNNNNNNNNNNNNNNNNNNNNNNNNNNNNNNNNNNNNNNNNNNNNNNNNNNNNNNNNNNNNNNNNNNNNNNNNNNNNNNNNNNNNNNNNNNNNNNNNNNNNNNNNNNNNNNNNNNNNNNNNNNNNNNNNNNNNNNNNNNNNNNNNNNNNNNNNNNNNNNNNNNNNNNNNNNNNNNNNNNNNNNNNNNNNNNNNNNNNNNNNNNNNNNNNNNNNNNNNNNNNNNNNNNNNNNNNNNNNNNNNNNNNNNNNNNNNNNNNNNNNNNNNNNNNNNNNNNNNNNNNNNNNNNNNNNNNNNNNNNNNNNNNNNNNNNNNNNNNNNNNNNNNNNNNNNNNNNNNNNNNNNNNNNNNNNNNNNNNNNNNNNNNNNNNNNNNNNNNNNNNNNNNNNNNNNNNNNNNNNNNNNNNNNNNNNNNNNNNNNNNNNNNNNNNNNNNNNNNNNNNNNNNNNNNNNNNNNNNNNNNNNNNNNNNNNNNNNNNNNNNNNNNNNNNNNNNNNNNNNNNNNNNNNNNNNNNNNNNNNNNNNNNNNNNNNNNNNNNNNNNNNNNNNNNNNNNNNNNNNNNNNNNNNNNNNNNNNNNNNNNNNNNNNNNNNNNNNNNNNNNNNNNNNNNNNNNNNNNNNNNNNNNNNNNNNNNNNNNNNNNNNNNNNNNNNNNNNNNNNNNNNNNNNNNNNNNNNNNNNNNNNNNNNNNNNNNNNNNNNNNNAGUAAGAUUCCCUGUCCCGGACUUUGCUUGAGGUAUCGAAGGACUCGCAUCGCUGCAUCCCAGUGUAACGUGCGGGGGUCUUGCAUGAACUGAGACAGGAUAUGAACUGAGUAGCAGAGUUCCGGUCGCGUGAUGGUCAAAUAAAUUAAACGACCCACCAGGCGUCGAUAUUGUCCUGGAUCUAAUAUGGGAUCACCAGAGUCUAUCGAUAAACGAUGCUGUUGUUCCAUAGGGAACGGUGAUGGCCUAGCUCCGAGCAUGCCACAUUCAGUUAAUAUGUCCAAUGUAUAUUUGCGCUGCGAUAAAAAUAAUCCUGAUGGGCUACGAGCGAUCUCAAUGCCGAGAAAAUAUUUCAGAGGGCCGAGAUCCUUGAUAUGAAACCGGGUGGCCAAAUAAGUUUUGAAACUCUGACAUUGACUUGAAUCAUUGCAUGCUAAUAUUAAGUCAUCUACAUAAACCAAAAUGACCAUGAAAGUGGUGUCCUUAUUAUAUGUGAAUAAGGAAUGGUCGGCCUUUGACUGAAUGAAUCCAUAAUCAUGCAGGGCAGAAGUGAGUUUCGCAAACCAGUUUCUAGGAGCUUGGCGAAGACCAUAGAGUGACUUUCGAAGACGGCAAGCUUUGCCACGCCCCGUGACAUGAAAGCCCGAUGGAAUACUCAUGUAUACUUCCUCUUCGAGGUCACCAUGUAGAAAUGCAUUAUGUACGUCCAUUUGAUGAAGUUCCCACUUUUUAAAAAUAGAAACAGUCAGAAGGCAGCGUACGCUCACCAAUUUAGCAACUGGUGCGAAUGUCUCAUGAAAGUCGAGUCCCUCGAUCUGAGCGAACCCCUUUGUGACGAGACGAGCCUUAUAACGCUCCACACUGCCGUCGGCCCUACGCUUCCCCUUGUAUACCCAUUUGCAACCGAUGGGUUUCUUAUUUGGUGGUAGAUCUUCCACGGUCCACGUACCGUUGUGUUCGAGAGCCUUUAUCUCUUGGGCCAUAGCGUCUCGCCAUCUAGGAUCUUUCAUCGCCUGAGAGUAAUUUCUAGGCUCGAUAUCUUCAUCAAGAGUAGCUACAAAUGCUUUAUGAGAUUGAGAUCAGUUAUCAUGGUAAAUAAAAUUUUCUAUGGGAUGGACCGUACCUGAAGUCACCGUGGAGCGGAGUGGCAUGCAGGAGGGGUCUUUGGGUUCGAUGGCAUGGCACACAGUCUCGUAGGUGAGUUGGUAUUUUGCGCAUCGUUCUAGGUCGUGUGGUUUGGAUUUCUGUCAAAUCCAACCCACUAUAGGCUUCAGGUUCACUCCCCCUGUCCGGUGUAAUUUCUUCGUGGCUGGGCUCCUGCAUUUCUGGGUCUGGUUCGAACUGGGAUUGCAAGCUGUUGGGCUCCUCACCGAGUUCAUUUGUACUGGACCUGACUGGAGGAACUAGGCAUGGCUGAGCUGCCGGCCCGUCUAUAGAGAUCGGGUUGACUGCAUCGGCUUCCUCAAAUACCAAUGGCACAACCGGUUGGCUUUCAUUGUCAGCCUCAAAUCCUGCGAAUUUUCCUUUAUUGAAAACUACAUCUCUUGAAACAAAAACUUCUUGUGUGUCAAGAUCAUAUAGUUUCCAUCCUUUUUGAGCCUGGGGAUAACCAAUAAAGAUACACUUUCGAGCCCUUUCAUGAAAUUUAUCAUGGACCCGCGGCUUCCAAUAAGCAAAACAUAUGGAUCCAAAAAUCCGAAUAUGAUCAUAAUUCGGUUUUUGCCCAAAUAGUACCUCGUAAGGUGUCUUCCCGGAUAACAGUCGUGUCGGAGUGUAAUUGAUGAGAUAAACGGCAGUUAAAACACACUCGCCCCAAAACUUAACAGGUAGUCCCGCUUCGAAGCGCAAGGCUCUCGCUACAUUGAGUAUAUGCCGAUGCUUACGUUCCACUCUCCCAUUUUGUUGAGGAGUGUAGAUGCAUGAGGUUUGGUGUAUUAUCCCCAUAUCAGAGUAAAAUUGUCGUAUUGGACCUGAAACAAAUUCCCGACCAUUAUCUGAUCUAAUUACUUUAAUUAUGCGCCCAAAUUGAGUUUUUACCAUAUUAUAGAACUUUAUUAACAGCCCGCAAAUUUCAGAUUUCUCUUUCAUUAAAAAUGCCCAGGUCCCUCGGCUGUGAUCAUCAACUAUGGUUAGAAAAUAUUUCGCGCCUGAUAAAGAAGCCGUAUUAUAAGGUCCCCAUAAAUCGCAAUGGAUCAAAUCAAAACAACCAAUAGCUUUAUUUUCACUAACAUCAAAUGGUGCUCUAGUUUGUUUCGAGCGCAAACAUACUCUAAAAGCUGUUGGAGAACGGUGUUUAAACAUUUUUAUAUUUAACACUCCCCCUCACGUCUGGGCUUGAGACUUUUUAAUCGGCCCAUGACGUGGGCUUGAAUUAAAUGGGAGGAAAUUAAUAUGCUAGGAGCCUGGCAUGACUCGAACUCAGGACCUCCUGCUCUGAUACCAUGUGAAACAACCGUUGUACUCUAAAAGCUUAAGCUGUUGGAGAACGGUGUUUAAACAUUUUUAUAUUUAACAGUCAGCACCUUUAUUAAUUCUCCAUUAAACUAUAUAGAAAAAACUUCAAAUCCCGCCUGCCGUGGCUUAUCGAAUAUUUACUUUAGUACUACGUGGUUUACCAAAUUUUUAUUUUAGUAUAUUGUGAUUUUAACUUUUUCACUGGAUAUUAAAAUGAUAUAUACUUUAAACCACAAGAUAUUAAAAUAUAUUUUUUUUGUGUUUCAACAAUAUUGCAAAGGAAUAGUAGAGAUGCCGCUUGUUUUCUUUUACAUUCGUAUUCAUAGUGUUCAUUUUAUUACAAUAAUAAUAUUGAAUUUGAGACGCCUUAAUCGAAAAAGCGACGUGAUCAUAUUUGCCAAUAACUGAUCUCAUGAUUUUUUCAGCAAUUAAUUUGUCUACCCUAUAUUCUCCAUUCAUCCGUAUUUGAUUUGAUACGGAUACUAACCGACUAAAAAUAGUCGUUAAUUGAUUUACCUUCAUUCAGUUGUAAAGUUUCAAAUUCACCUUUAAAAGUUUGGAUUCGUACCUUUUUUUCUUUAUCUGCACCUCAGUAAUUUCUCUCGAGCAUGUCUUAGGCCUUUUUCGCUGUCUUGACAUUCGAUAAUCUCUCUCAAAUAUAAUUUCAUCCACUGCCUAAUAUAGAAAGAAUAGUGCAUUUUUAUCUUUCUUUCGACAAUUUUUGAGCGCCUCUUUCUUUGUAGCAAUGAGCGUUUCGAACUCACCGUCGAUAACAUCUUUGAAGCCAUCCUUCACAAUAUUCCAUAACUCCUUAGAUGAGAAUAAAUAUUAGAUCUGGAUACUUCAGUAAUUGAAAUUCUUUUUUGUAAACUUCGGAAGCUGUGGUUGAAUCAUCCCGUUUAGGGCCAUGAUCAACCAUCGAUGUUGAUGUCGAUGGAGAGCACGAUACCGGCAUGCUCUACGUCCUCGAUAACGAAGCUGAUGAUCUUUUCUUCGUUGUAAGGCUUCUUUAACUUGAUUCUUAUACCACUUGUAGGAAGGAGAAGAGUAUCACAGUGAAUUAAACUAAGAACUUUAAUUAAGUAUUUUUGGACUAAAUUUUAGUGCUGCAUUAUUUUCCACACAUUAUGUAUAGACAUAAAGAAAAAAUUCUAAUAGCAAUAAUUGAACAAGAUUUAAACUUAUCUUUUAUAUACAAUAAAAUAUUAAGAGAUAAAUCUGAUAAAAAUAAAUCUAAAUUUAUCAAAAAUAUUGGGUUACAUAUCAACCUUAUAGACUUAAUUAAUUAGAAGAUGAGAAUUUGUACUGCAGUUGACGAAAAUACUUAAUUGGUUUGGACUAGAACGCUAUAAUUUAUCAGAUGUGCAAAAUGCUUUCCAUACAGGUAUGAAACAGCAAUUAAUGCAGUCCACAUAGGGAGUGUUUGGUUCGAAGUCGGAGUCGGAAUCGGAAUCGGAAUCAAAAUAAGCUGGAAUCGGAAUCGGAAUAACUCAUUACCUAAUUAUGUUUGGUUCAUCACCUGAAUCGAAAUUGGAAUAAAUCAUUUCCAUUAUCCGUGUUUGGUUCAGGUGGAUAUAAAAAACGUAAUCAAAUUAAUAUACUAACAUUAUNCGAGCGGGAGGGUGCUCAAGGGGUCCAACAUCGUGCUCGGCCCCUACGCUAAGGAUGCUCAGGUUGUCACCGCCGAGUUCGUGAAGAGUAGUGUGAGGACCGAGGAUUGCCCUGCCGACGGCCUCCCCGAGUUCGCCCUCAUCGGCCGAUCCAACGUCGGCAAAUCCUCCCUCCUCAAUUCCCUCGUCCGCCGCAAGCGCCUCACCCUCACCUCCAAGAAGCCAGGUUCGAUCCUGUUGUUUGUGUUGUUUAUUUCGCGAAUUACCCACAUGUAUGUGGAGUUUAGGGUUCAGGAAUUAGUAAGAAUGAUGAUGAGUACUAUGAUUCAGAGUCCUUCUAAUUGUGAUAUUAUUUCAUCGUUUAUCUUUGGAUAUUAAUGUUAAUGUUAGUGUGCCCUCUGUGAUUUCAGGAAAAACCCAACUCAUCAACCAUUUCCGAAUAAACGAUAGUUGGUACCUUGUUGAUUUGCCUGGAUAUGGGUGAGCUUUAAUUUUCAUUUCCUCUUUUGCAUAUUUGUAUGCUACACUUUUAUGUAACUUAUGAUGAAUUGAAAUGCAUGAACAAGUAGCCUCCGUUGGCCUGAAGCGGAUCGUGCACGUUGAACCCUCCGACAACCUGAAGCAAACCCUCCGACAACCUAAAGCGGAUCUUGCACUAGUUCGUCAACGCGCGAGCCCUCUGACAACCUGAAGCAAACCCUCUACUCUGCAGCCCUCUCUCAUCAGUUCUAGAACUCUGCAGCCCAUUGCCCCUUUAGCCCUCUGUGAGCCGCGCCUAGUCUCUCUCUGUAAGCAACGCCUGCCCAACCAUUAUUAUUGGAUAUUUUUGCUUAAAAUCCAUGAUUUUCUUGAAUAUAGAGUGCUUACAAGAAUCCUUAGGUAAAUCUUUCUUAAUUGUGUAGAUUCUUUCAACAACUGAGGAUCUUUCUUAAUUGCUUGCUUAUCUCACACUUUCUAUCUAUAUAUGUUUAGAAAGUGAUGCAAUUUUAAUUUAUGAUUUCAAAGAAUAUGGAUUUAAAUUUUAAUUUAUGCAAUUUUAAUUUUUUAAUAUCUAAUUGCUAUAUAGAUAAAAUGGGGUUAAGUAUCUCAAGGCACCAACAUUUGCACUUGUUGCGCCCCACACAUUUUUGAAGAAAAAGCGGAUCUUAUGUUCUCUUGAAGGUGUAACCUGAGAUUUCCCAAGCUUCAUGGAGGUUAGGAUAUUCUCCCGUACCUACUGUUUUGGCAUUUUUAUUUGCAUAGAAGUAAUGAUAUCACUCUUGUGUAAUUUCAAUCUUUGAAAUAACUCUGUAUUGUAUUUAAGUCACUUUCAACGGUGUUUGUGUUACAAUAAUAACUUCCCGACCAAGUUACAAAGAAUUUCUUAACUAACCUUUAAUUCAGCUACAACAAGAUCCCAACAAGCAAAAGAGGAAGGUAAGAUCACUUCCAGCCCACCAGAAUCUCAGCUACAUGAGGUAAUCAAGAGAAGUUCCAUCGAAACCAAAAACUAGCUAAAUUUCAUCUCAAUCCCCAAUAUUACCUCAAUUUGCCUCCCACUAACUUUGAAUCCAGCUGAAACCAAAGUCCUACAAGUUCCUCAGCUCCAGAGUAAGUAGAAGAACUCAAAGAAAUCCCCACUCCAAAUACAGAUGAUGCUGGAAUAGAAAUUAGAAUCAAAAUUCUAACGAAACCGACCAAAAAUCCAAUUUCCCCACAAAUCCUCUAAAUCACAUCAACCUACCUCUAAUCCAGCAGCAAGAAAUCAAUCCCCAAGCUCUUCUCCAUCAUCUACGGCUCGAGCAAGCUCCAAUUGAGCAAUGCAAAGGUAGAAAUUAGGUCAAUUUGGCCUCCAAUUAAGCUGCUAUAGAUUUGCUGUAAUCACUCCUGCUGGCUUGUUAUUGCUUAUAGGCUGCGUAGGGAGGAAAACAACAAGGUGCGCUAAGAGGAAAAAUGCAAGGAGCGAGAGAGGAGAAGGAGAAGAAAACUUGCUAAUAGUUGACACAAUGUUGCUGCUGCUGAUAUCCUGCGCUGGGAGUAAGGCACCAGGGAAUAAGAAAAAGAAGUGUGAAAGAAAGAAAAGGAAAUGGAGUAGUUCUCAGCCAACCACUACAGUCCAAACUUUCCUAUUUAGGGUGGUUGGCACUUGCAUAAAAUGUGCCUUAAGCACAACUUAAUAAAAACUUACCUAUACAUCAGCUAUUCUUGUAACUAAGGUGUAAUUUAAAAAGUAUAAAUUUAACUGGCGUGAAAACAUAACUAGUCGACAAUCUGAGCAUUGGGGAUUCAUUAGUCAAAAUUUGAGCAUUUCACGUUUUGGCCAGAAUUGGAUUACCCUCCAUACUGUUUAGGGGACUUUUAAUUACUUAUUCAUCAUGUUUGAACAGUGUACUAUGCUAUUAUACAUUGUAUAAUUUUAUUUUAGUUUUUAUCUUAAGGACCUAUCUUUUAAAAAUAUAAGUUGCCUACUAUUUGCAUGACUUACUUUUAUAUUAUUUUUCAUUGUUUCUUUUGUAGGUAGUUCAUGGUGAUUUUUGGAACAAGAAAAGACGAUGAAUUGCAAGCUCUCUUUUUUGUUUUUAAGCUAACCUUUUUCGGAAACAUGGUGAUAGUUGUUGAUUUCAGUACUUUAUUUUAAUGUUGACUAUAUAUGUAAUGGUGUGAUGAAAACUAUGUUGUGAUGGAAACUAUAUCUACUAGAUGAAUGUUUUGGAGAAAAAUAUGAAUAUUAUGGAUGCUAAGUACUUUUAUUGUUAAUGAAGUUUUAUUACAUGUUUANUUUAGGUUUAAAUUAAAAUUUAAAAUUAUAUAUUUAAUUUUUAAAUUUUAACUCAUAUUUUAAUUAAAAAAUUAAAAAAAUAAAUUUAAUCCGAAUAAAUAUCCAUUCCGUCCGGAUUCAACUUUCAAUCCGGCCUCCUAGGCCGGAUUGAAAAAGAGGUGAUUGGGGGAUUCCAUUCCACUCGGGAAUCGGAAUCGGAAUGGAAUUCCCGCGUACCAAACACCCACAAAUGGAUUUACCCAUUCCAAUUCCGAUUCCAGGGUGAAAAAAAAGCGAACCAAACACGCCCAUAGAUUCCACUUCCUUCAUU